rnacentral:lncRNA from 1 species
AUAAAUCUCAUUUAUCCCUACAGGGUCUCUUAUAAUGGACCUAUCAAAAAAAGGUGUUAGAUGUUGAGGUAAUGACAAAGAGGGUGUGUUUUUUUCAAGGUUGGAACAAAAGUAAGACCAUGCUUUCAUAAACAAGGUUGAAGAUUUUCCAUCAACAGCUGCAUGGUGUGUGGUUAUACCAAUACAAAAUCCAUGGUUAGGAAAAAAAGUGACUUGUAGUGAAAUAAUUGAUGCUUUUUCAUUUGAAAUCUCCAAACUUGGGAUUAAGUGUUGUUUUUUUUCAACUUCACAAAAAUUUGAACAUAAAAGGUUGAAAUUUUCAUUUGAUUCAGCUACAAUCAAUGGAAUGGAAUCACUAGGGACAUAGUUGAUGAUGGGAUGUGAUGAAUCUUGUGGCCAUGUGAUGUUACCAACAAGAAGGAAGAGAGUGUUUGAGAUUUGGAAGAAUGGAAUCAAAAAAAGAAGUGGUUGAUAAAUUUGGGUGUUCAUAAAAGAAGAGACGUUCAACUGGUGGGAGUCUUAGCCAUAGUGAGUCAAAGAAAGUGAAGGGAAAAGUAGUUGGGGAGGUUUCAUUUUGAGGUGCUAUUGAAAAAUUUUUAUGAACUUUGAGAGAUAUUGCCAUGAGAAAUUGAUGAGGAAAUGAGGCUUGGCAAUUUGUAGACUUAAUAAGCAUUUUAUGAUGAUGAUGAUGAUGAUACAUAGGCUAUGAAUAUGCUUUCAAUAUAUGACAAGGACAUAUCUAGGAAUCACACGUCACAUGGUUCGAAUUGGUGAGGAUUUGAAGUAUUUAUCUAAGGGGAACUUCUACGGUACACUGUAAAUUAAGGUGUACUGGUAUUUUUAUUUCAUAAAUUUAUAAAUUAAUGAUCAAUUUUAUGAAAUAAAUAGUUAUUUAUCGGUAUUUAUAUUUUAGAAAAUACUAUUUCAUAUGUCAUUCAUUGUUUAUAAGAAUCAUAGUAUUUUUUUUAGAUAUUAUCGUAUAAAAUAAUCAAAGUUCUCUAUUAUAAGCGAUAAAAAUUCAAAAAAAUCAAUUUUAUUUCGUUUACGCUUGUGAUGAAUAAGAUUUAAUCAUUAUAAUUAUAAAUAAAAAAUAAUAAUAUUUUUCUUCAUAAAAUAACUCAUUUACCAAUAAAAUUAAAGGUUUGGUGUACCGAUACACUCAAAUAUGUUGGGUGUACCGUAGAAUUUGUCUAUGUAAGCUCCUUUUCACCUUAUUGUUUUGUUUUUUACUUUAGGAAAUUUUUGAUGUAGGAUGUCGGCAAAGAUGUUGAACAUAUUGGUUUCAAGUCAUACGUGUCGAAAAGGCAAGUUUGCAAAUAAAGGGUGACCAUUCUUUGGAUGAUCUCCGUGCUUUUUUUUUUUAUUUGUGUUUGAACUUCGAAACUUGCAUAUAUAAUGCAUUGUCUAUACCAACUAAAUUAAAUUCACGAACACCUCUUUGUGUUUAACGUUGAUAUAUAAAAUACUAACGAGUUUUUAAAAUUUUACCAUAUCAACUUUCUUAUAUUGUAUUUAAAAAUUUACUUAUGUAAUUUUAAAUUUUUAAAAUCUACAACAAGCGUGGGCCAAAUAUUUAACGUGUUUUGUAUAUAAAAUAAAAAAUAUUUAAUAAAAAAAUACAUUAAUGUCGAUAUUUUGAAAAUAGUCACGAGUUUUCAAAAUAUUAUCAUAUCGACUUUCUCGUAUAGUACAUAAAAGUUUACUUCUAUACAUUUGUCAAUUUUUUUUACUUCUAUAUCUAUAAGUAAAUAAAAUCUGCAACGGAAGCGAUGCAAAUAUUUAACAGAUUUUUGCAUACUAAAAAAAAAUAUUUAAUUAAUAAACCUCUUAAAACAUAUUUAACAUAAACAUUACAUUAAUGCCGAUAAUUUUCAUCUAAUACAUUUAUACAUUUUACAAUAUUUACAAUGUAAUUAUUUUUUAUAUAAUUACCACAAUAUUACGCGAUCUAUCUGAAUACACAUAUUUUUACUAAUGAUGCUUAAAGAGCCACCAUCGAUCUAAAAUGGUACACAAAAAUGAAUAUGAAUAUGUACCUUGACUGACCUCGACAUAAAUGUUACAAUAAUGACGUGGCUAUGCAUUGUUGCAUCUAGAAGUAAAACACCAGUACACCACCUUAAUUUGGUGAAAUUAUUCUACCGACACAAUCAUAAAUAAUAAAUAUUUACAUUCACAUCAAAUACAAAAAUUAAUAAAAAAUAAAACUAAAUAACAUUGAUUGAUGUGGUUUAUUUAUUUUUAUUUUAAUUUUUUCUAUUUGAUGUAAAUGUGUUCAAAUAUUUAUCAUUUUUGAUUGUGUUUACAUAAGAGUUUCUUAAUCAAUCCUAAACAAAAAUAUUCAUAGAAAAGAAUACGUGGACUGCAUAAUGCAUUAUUUCAAUUACUUGCUUAUCACAUCACAAUCACAUACUAUAUUAUUCCUUAAAAAAAUCACAUACUAUAUUACUGGCAUCUUGACAUUAUGCUAAGAAAAUAUAUAAGACGACAAAAAAACUAUGACUACAACAUGUUUGAAAGUUUACACUGUGGAGAGAUUCAAGGAGACAAACAUUGAAGGCGCCUUGAGUUUGAGAUAAAACAAGUAUAUGAAGCUAAAACAUCCAGAUUUGAGGAGGCAAAGCUUACCAUUCAUUAAUUCAUUUCAAUCUAACAAAUAUCCUUAAAAAAAAAUUGUGAAUAUUUUUCUUUUUUCUCUUUUACAAUUUGUUUUUUCUCCAGAUUUAUUUAAUAACUGAUGUAUUUAGUUUAUAUUGUAAACCAAAAACAUUAAUUAUAUAAUAAAUCUUUAAACAAAUUGUUUAUGUCUGAGACCAAAUUCAUAAUAAAAUACUCUCUCCGUUUCAAAUUGUAUAACGUUUUGGACAUUUCACACAUAUUAAGAAAUGUAAUUAAUAUUGUGUGAGAAAGAGAUAUUAUGAGUUGUUUUACAAAAUUGUCCUUAAUAAAUUAUAUGAGAAAGAUAAAUGAAUGAAUUGAAAGAAAAGAGAGUAAUAAAUAGUUAAAGACAUAAUAGAAAAAGUAACAUUAAUAUUUUAUUAGUAUUGUAAAGCGACAUAUAAUUUGCGACAAUUUUUUUUCUUUCUAAAAUGACUUACAAUUUGGGACGGAGGGAGUACAUAUUAACAUAAGUAUUUUAAUUUGACAAAAAAAAAAUGUAUUUUAAGAAUUUAUCUUGUCCUACUUGGGGUGAUGAGCUAGAAGACAUUGAGCGAGUUUAAAGCAAAAGGUCCUCAACAAUUUCAAUUUCCAAACUUAUAAAAACAAUUCAAAAUAUAAAUCCAAGAUGUGAAUCGUCUGAUCUAAAUCGAGAGAUUAAAAUCUACAACAGUACGAUUGUGUUUUUUUAAAAGGCAAAGUAAUAUAUGAUAGACAAUCCAUUUUCUUGAUACAAUUACAAUGAUUCAAGUCCUUGAACAAAAAGUUGAGCAAAAACCUCCAUUUGUUGUUUGUUCAAAGCCAAACCAAUCUCAAUUCCACCAUCAUUAUUCCUAUUCUCCGAAAGAGAAAAAGCUCCUGUUUUAUCAAUAGAAGUAACAUCAACUUUCUUAGGUUUACCCCAUCCAAAAUCAAAACUAUAAACAUCAAACCUAGGUGACCCGGCAAUAGAAAACAUCCUAUCUGUCUCACUCAUUGUAGAUUGCAUUAUUGACAUCCAAUUCUCCAAACCCUUCAACACACCAUUUUCCAAACCCUUCAACACAUCACUUAUCCCUUCAAGAGCACUAAUAAAUCCAUCAUCUUUUAAAAAUUCCUCGGUUUCACCCAAAACUAAUUUUGACACAACACAAUUUCCAAAAUAAUUUGCAUUAAUUGGUGGAUCCAAACGUGGCCUACAAUCCACACUAAAAAUAAAAGGUACCUUGUUGGAUUUUGGUUGGUCAACUUUUAUCGUACAUGCCAACAAAUAAGCACAAGUAACUGAAAAAGUUGAAAGCUUAAUAACCUUGUUAUUUUUUUCAAUCUUGGAUUGUGCAUGUUUCUUAAGCUUUUGAAUAUCCAAAGGUGACAAUUGAAAAAUACCUUUGGUUGCUUCACCCUUUAUUGUAUUAAUUGUUUCCCAAACCUUCAAGCUUCGAUUAUUUGUUUCUCCACCAAAAUUCAACCACCCUUUUGAAUAAAUCUCAUUUAUCCCUAUAGGGUCUCUUAUAAUGGACCUAUCAAAAAAAGGUGUUAGAUAUUGAGGUAAUGACAAAGAGGGUGUGUUUUUUUCAAGGUUGGAACAAAAAUAAGACCAAGCUUUCAUAAACAAAGUUGAAGAUUUUCCAUCAACAGCUGCAUGGUGUGUGGUUAUACCAAUACAAAAUCCAUGGUUAGGAAAAAAAGUGACUUGUAGUGAAAUAAUUGAUGCUUUUUCAUGUGAAAUUUCCAAACUUGGGAUCAAGUGUUGUUUUUUUUCAACUUCACAAAGAUUUGAACAUAAAAGGUUGAAAUUUUCAUUUGAUUCAGCUACAAUCAAUAGAAUGGAAUCACUAGGGACAUAGUUGAUGAUAGGGUGUGGUGAAUCUUGUGGCCAUGUGAUGUUACCAACAAGAAGGAGGAAGUGGUUGAGUGUGAGCUCAAGGGAAUGUUUGAGAUUUGGAAGAAUGGAAUCAAAGAAAAAAUUGGUAGAUAAAUUGGUGUGUUCAUAGAAGAACAAACGUUCAACCGGUGGAAAUCUUACCCAAAGUGUGUCAAAGAAAGUGAAGGGAAAAGUAGUUGGGGAGGUUUCAUUUUUUGGUGAUAUUGAAAAAACUUGAUGAACUUUGUGAGAUUGUGCCAUAAGGGAGGGAAGAAAUUGAUGAGGAAGUGAGGCUUGGCAAUUUGUUGACUUUAUAAACAGUUUAUGAUGAUGACGAUGAUGAUACAUAGGCUAUGAAUGUGCUCUCAAUAUAAUAAUAAUAAUAAUAAUAUAAUAAUACAUUCUUUAUAAAUCAAUUCCUUAAGGUAUCCAAUUUAUUUGCAUACAAAUAGUGCAUACAAACAAUUUCAACACUAAUAGUGCAUACAAAUCAAUUCCUUAAGGUAUCCAAUUUAUUUGGAGGAAAGAUGUCCCGUUUAAGAUAUCGGUAUUUGCUUGACGACUUUUUCGUAAUAGAUUGUCUACGAAUGAUAAUUUAUUUUAAAGGAGGAUUAUAUAGGAAUAUGCUCAGUUGUGUGCUUCUGGAUGUGGGAUGUUUGAAUCGGCGGAUCACCUAUUUUUGCAUUGCGAUGUGUUUGGUCAGGUUUGACAACUUGUUCGUCAUUGGUUAGGUGUUUCUUCAAUAAACCCAUUAACCACCUCGGAUCAUUAUCUUCAGUUUUGUAUUUCUUCUGGUUUUGCUAAUUCCAGAUGCUCUUUUAUGCAUUUAGUAUGGUUUGCAAGCAUUUGGGCAAUUUAGAAGGAAAAGAAUGCAAGAAUAUUUUGUGUAAAAGAAUCAUAAGUUCAAAUCUAGGUCACCACAUUUCACCUCGCUUAUGUGUGUGUUUAUUUGAAUAUUUGUUGGUGACUAAGCUAAUAAAAAAAAUACGCAGUAAGAUUCAAUAACAUGAUUUUUUAGUUUGUACAAAAAAAACAUAAUUUUUUAGUUUCCUCCUUGUUUUUUAGGACGAAGGAGGGUGCAAGAUAAUUAAAGUGGCUUCUUAUAAUUUUUUAUUUUAUAACAAUGAUAGUUUUAUUAAAUGCUAAAACUGUUUAAACAUUCAAUAUAUUAAGUUUUUUUUUUUGUUACGGUCAAUGCUUUUCUUAGUGUCAAUAUUAAAGAUAUAAAAAAAAAAAAAUUAAAAAACCGUUUAUGGGAUUUUAUUCUUCAUUAUUGAAGGCUGGAUCUAACCUAAGGAUCCAUCUAGACUUCAUAACGUGCAAAUCAAUAUUAGUUAAUGAUCUAGUCACGAUGAUUAUUUAUACUCAGUGUCUUACAUACUUCAAAUAUACUUAACUUUACUAGAGGAAACCUAAAACUUAUUUUCUCUGAUCACAUUUAUAGUAGAUAUUCGUCCGUUAUUUAAUUAAUCUAGAAAAUGAAUAGUUGUUUAUAAUUUUUGUUUUGGUAGUGUAUAGUUGUUUAUUAUUUUUUUUGACAAAAAUAAAAUGAUAUUCAUUCAUUCAAAUCGAGAGAUUACAUCAUUCAACACCGCUAAAAACGUAAAGGAUGAAUCUGCGAACAAACUUACAUCAUCUAAGUUAAUAGCAUAUAACAACAUAAUGCCUACAAAAAUAUAUGAUAAAAUUAAAGUGAUCGGAAUAUCCAUGACCUCCGAAUCUGCAACGUUGAUGCCCAAAUCUUUGAUUGAAUAAUCGAUCUUUCAAUAUGAAUCAAAUGAACACCUCACGAAGACGGGAAAUCAAACAACACCGCACAAGACGACGAACAACAAACCACCACACUUAGAUGAUGAAAUCACAAAGGAAAAACAAAAAAACCUAGAUCUAUAUAUGUGAAAAUCACUUAUUUAGAUUGAAAUAGAGAGAAAAGAUGAAGAUGAGUGAUUUCAGGUCAAGAAUUGACCCAAAACCACCCCUCAAUGGAGAAACUGUAAGAGAAAACCUAAAGAGAUAAAACUAGAUUUGCCUUAUUAGUGUAUAGUUGUUUAUAAAUGUAACAAGAAUUUUAUAUUUUUAAUGUCAUAUAGUUUUUUUGUUAUAUCACUAACAACAUAGCCUUAAUAUUUAAUACUACUAAUUUUAUUUUUUUUGAAAGAAUUUAAUACUACUAUUUUGAAAACUCGUAUAACAUGCAUUCAAUGAAGGGCGUAAGCCCUCUUUUACCACAAAAAAAAAAACUCGUAAUGGAUGUUGCUAUCAACGUAGUCGUGAGUCUAUGAGAAACGAAUCUUAAUUGUUGAGUUAGGUCAAUACAUUUGUCUCACCAACUCCGUCAUAUGCAUCCAAGCAGGCAGGCAGCUGUAUAUCAUUUGGAUUUGGAAGCUUCUUUUCUACUUUUGAAAAUCAUUUCUAAAAUAUACUAAAAAAUUUAAAAAUUUAUGUCAUUCUAAGACAAAAAUACUUUUUUAUUUAUUUCCAAAAUACAUUUUUUUAUGUGAAAAAAUAUAUUUUCAUAUUUGUGGUAGGAGAGAGAAGCUCUCAUUUCAUUUAACAUAUUUUAAAAGAGAUAUUUGAGUCAAAAAAAAUUAAUGUAUCUGAUCAAAAUAAAACCAAAUACAUCUAUCCGUUGAUUUAAAUGUUUUUUAUAUCUAUAAUUGGGAUUGUAUGAACUUAGUUUUUCAUUUUGUAUGGCAAGCAUAUGAGUUAUGUCCACACUUUUAUUAUCGCAAAAUUAAAUGACGUGGUAGUUAACAAUUGUUUCAAUGUUGUUUUUCAUUUGAAUUAAACAUUCAAGACAUUGUUUAGUUUUAUCUUCUUUCUAAUGUACUUUUAGUUGCUUCAUCAUGUAUAAUAUUAUAUAUGUUAGACAAAUCUCUCUAUUUGCUAAAAAAAAAGAGACAAAUCUCUCUAUCUCCAUGUAUAUUCCAUACUUAAAGCUUAUCUCUAUGUAUAUUCUAUACUUAAUGCUUAUUUUUGUCUAAACUUAAUCUUAGCUUGGCUCAGAUGGCUCAUAUAUGUCAAUGUAUUUUGAUAGUUGCGGCUGUGUUGAAUUGUAAAUUUAAAACAUUUUAAUAUAUGGGGUUUAAGUUGAUUUUAAUUAAUUAUGUGUUGAUGGUACGUGAGUCGACUUCGUGUUAACGAUCGAUUCAUUUGCUAAAUGUUAGAUCCGAGCUUGAUUGUUAGAAUUGUUUAAGAUUGGAUCUACUUUAUGGAUAUUUUAGGGUUGUUGACCGAGUCAGGUUUUAUGUCCCUCCAAUUUUUAUGUAUUUUUUAAUAAUAUAUAUGAAUAAUUGACACUGAUUAGAGUAACAUACCAACUUAGUUGGACACUAUUCCUUUUUAUGUCAUUUUACUCUUAGCUUAUAAAAAAUUUAAUCAUGUGUUUUUUUUAUAAAAUAUUUUCUUUCAAAAACAAAAAUCUUAAGAAAAAAAGUGAUGUUAACAAAGAAAAAGGGGUUAAAAUCCUCUCCAUUCACUAUUUAUUUUUUGUUCAUUGAGGUGACAAAACAAAAGACCAGCACUAGGAGUAUCAAUAUAGCAAUGCAAGGGGGAGUUGGAAGUAAAGAAAUUGUCACGUUUUCCAACUAAUAGCAUGUUUGGAUUUAUGUUGCAGUGCCUUUUUCGAGUCUCAUUGCGUUCUAGACGUGAUAAUAAAGAAGCUUUAAUUUGUAGAGUUUGGAAAAACGUACGUUUGGUGGUAUCCCACUGUGGAAACAAACACAAGUUAAAGGAGGAACAACGGCAAACACUUUGUGAAACAAUUGAGCUUAAGACGUUUUGGUGAUUGAAAUCAAAAUAUAUUACAUUCGAUUUUGAUUACUAUUUUUUGAAGGAUUAAUCAUAUUCAUUGUUUGUCUUUUUUUUUAAGAGCAAUGAUACAUGGACAUUCCCAUGUGGCAUACCACCAUCUACACCCUUCCAUGUGGCAUUUUUUUAUUAGUUAUAAUGGGCAAUUUUGUCUUUAAAAAUAAAAUGAGGGGCAAUUUUGUCCAAUACACUCACAACAACUUUCUCACCCUCUCUUUUCUGUCUUUCUUCUCCUUUACCGGCCACCACCACCAACUCCCACCGGCCACCGUUGUCCUCCGUCCUCAACCUCAAAUAUCACAUCUACCACCACCAUCGCCACCGUCCAAAAGCUAGAUCUCACAACCGUCGCCCUCGUCUCGAAGCUCAGAUCUCACCACCACUGCAGCCACCACAACCACCGUCAUUUUCAGAUCUAAACACACCCAUCGAUCGUCAUCAUUAACCUCUCAUCUCGACGCCUCCACCACCACCGUCCUCGCACUCUUUCUCCAAAACACAACAACAACAAUUUUAAACAAACCCAAAACAAGAGACGGCGAUGGCGUCGGAAUUUGAGGAAACAAGUGGCAGAGAGAAAGAGGUGAGGGAGAAGAGAGAAAUAGAGACAACCAUUUGAGGAGAAGGAGAGAAAAAAAUCAGAAUAGAGAGAUAUGAGGAGAAAGAGGAGAUCGGCAGGAAGAGAGAAGGAGAAAAUAAAAUUAGGGAGAGAGAAAGAUGAGAUAAGAUUUCAGGGGAGAGAGUGACAAAAAAUUUAAAAUUAAAAUGCCAUGUAGGAGGUGUACAAUGUGGUAGAGAAAAAAGGAGGUCUAUGAUGUAUCCUUUUUCUUUUUUUAAAGUUGUUCCUCUCUUUUUUUGCUUAUCCUUUAUUGAAUUUGUGAUGUAACAUUGUAACUCUUGUAAGUUUUUCCGAUAAACCUUGAGUUGGAAGGAGAAAUAAUACAAAGGUAAGGGACAUAGACCAAACCCACAAUGAACAUAAGGAAAUUUAUGAUUAUGCAAAGUUGAAUAUAUUCAUAAAGAAAUCCACCUACAAAAGCUUUGUCAUCGCAUUCCACCAACUAAAAUCAGAAAUGAUCAUACAAAUGAAACUAACCAAAAUAUGAAAAUUCUAUUAAUGAUGAUAUAAGUAUCUACCGAGUUCCCUUAAAAAAAAUAGUCUAUACCGAGUCCAAAACAACUAAAAUACUCGUAUGAGUUUAUACAAAUAAGUACUCCGUCCUAAAUUAUAAGUAAAAAAAACCUAUUUUCUUUGUCCCAAAUUAUAAAUAAAAAAGACUAACUUUUAUCAUAUUCAAAUAUGUUUUUUUAAAAAAUUAUCUUUUUCAAAGGAAAAUUAAAUGCAAAAUGCAUUCAAUUUGCUCUCAUUUUCAUUUUCUCUAUAAUCAACUACCAAUGAAAAUUAUUUUUACAUCUUCCUAUAAAACUUAUUUCAAAGAUAACACAAAAAACUAUGUUACAAACUACUACCUAUAUUUUAAUUUUUUUAAUAAAUGUGAUUUAUGUUUUUUUGCUUAUAAUAUAAAACGGAGGGAGUAUAUUCAUUAAUUUAACCAAGAAUGGUGUACUGUACCCAACAUAUUUAAAGUGUAUCAGUUCAGUUCAUCAAGAAUGAUUAAACACAUAUUUUAUCAUUAUUUAUGAAUCAUAUGCAUGAUUCGAUUAAUUAAUUGAGACUAAAUUAGAUAUUUAGUUUCAUAAUUGAUUUUAUAGUUUUAUUUGGUCUCAUAACUACAACUACUUGCGCAUUGGUCCCUAAAAUAGAUUUUCGUUAGUGGUCUCAUUAUGUCAAUUUAAACCUCAAAUGUUUAAGGUGGAUCAACAUUGUAGGUACUACAAUAGAUCUCAUUAUAUAUAUAAUUUUAACCAUUAUAUUUUUUUAUAAAAAAUGGGGAUCAUUGGAUAUCAUGUAGAUCUAUUAUAUCUUAUCGUAAACUAUAACACCCUACUUCUAUUAAAGCAAUUAAACAUGCGAAUAAUACAUUUAUUCAAGAAAUAGAGGCUACGCCACAUUCAAAAUUCAAAAAACCAAUAAACAUGUAUAUAAACCUCAACAGUCGCAGCGGAAUAUUAACCAGAGUAAAUCCAAGUAUACAUGUUAUGAAUCAAUAAAUUACAUCAACAUCGAUGCAUCUCAAAAAUCCCAACAAACGGGUAAUCUCCAAUCAUAACAAAAUCCAAAAUAUAAGAUAAUCUAGACCGACACAACGAAGCCUAGAUCAGAGCCGACUAAACAUCUAAACACCGAUAUCGGAGAAAGCUCGCGAUAUCCACCAAGCACAAUACUCACCAAGCAUCCUACACUUGCACAACGUCUACCCAUCCAUACAGAUAGGCAGGCGGUCCAUAACAGAUCCACUGGGGGUAAGUAUUACAUUAUCAUAAUACAAAUAACAAAUAACAUAAAUAUUUCAAUUUAAACAUCAUGCAAUUGAUCAAUAAUAAUAACACAUUAAUACUUACAUCACACCCCGAUAUCUCACAUCAAUAUUCAUCAAUCAUAUGAACAAUUAUCAAUUUACAAAUAUUCAUUCACAAUCACCAAUCACAUUUAUCAUGAAUAAUCAUUAAUCACAUUUCAUGAACAAUCACCAAUUACAUGUAUCAUGAAUAAAUAUCAAUUAACAGUUAUUCAUACACAAUCACCAAUCAUAUACAUCAUGAACAAUCACCAAUCAUAAGCCAUGAACAUUCACCAAUUACAUUUCAUGAACAAACAUCAUUCACAUGUAUCACGUACAAUCAUCAACACAAGUAUCAAGGGCAAUCAUCAAUCACAUACAUCAUUUAAGACUCAUGUCAUGAUAUGCACUUAUUGACACAUAAAUGCAUGUGGUACCAAAUCUCAACAAGGUCGUCACCUUUCGAUGCCACUUGCACAUCGUAUGUAAGGCUCACACCUGCCUUACAAUAAUCUCGAAGUAAAAGAGCUCAACCCUUUUACAACAACAUCGACUAUGAUGCAUGGACAUGUAUAAGGACUCGAUAAUGCGACAACAAUUAACAAUCUCAACCUCAAUAUAUAGGACAACACCCAAUUAUAUUGAUUAUCUCCACAACAUUGCAUUAUCAAGAAAACAUGCCCACACAAAUAAAUCAUAGCAUUCACCAUCACACCUCAACAUGAUUAUCAAUAAUCAACAAUGUCAUCCAACAUCAACUAUCACAUAUAGUUUCACCAUUUCAAACAAUUCUCAUAUUCCAAGUAAGAGAACAUACAACAUCUCAUGACAAAUAUCAUAUCCAACAUAUAAUCAUUCAACAUCAACUAUCACAUAUAGUUUCACCAUUCAAGCAUUCCUUACAUUCUAAGUAAGAUAGCAUACACAUCUCAUGAUAAACAUCAUAUCCAAUACAAUCAUUCAUUCAAACAUCUUCACUUAGUCAUAUAAGGAUAGUCACGAUAGAUUAUAAGAAAAUUGGUUCAAAGGAAACAUUUCCGACAAAAACCGUAUCAAGUGGCAAAAGGCCAACAUUGAUAAUUCCCAAGACAAAGCAACUUAGACAAAUUGAAAGCUCUCAAAAAAUCUUAAUCAAUAAUGUAGUCAUGAGCUUAAGCCACUUACAAACUAUUAGACAUCAGUUCAAAGAAUAACUUAAGUUCGUAUGAGAAAACCCAAUUUCACAAUCUUUCACAUUCCCAUCCGAAAUAUCAUUUUUGACAUGAUUAAGAUGUUUGACCAACCAUACAAGUCUUACCUAAGUCUAUAAGAGAUGUAGGUUUAACUUGUAAUCCUAUUUAGUUCACAAAAGUUCAUUUUGACAAAAUCCGACAUUUCCUAAAAUUCCAAGUUCCAUAUCAUUUCUUCCAUAUUUCAAAACCAAUUCAUUUUCAAAACAAAAACCAAGUUAGGAUCAAGCUAUGAUACUCUUAGAAGCUUAAUUAUAAAUUGAUUGAAUAAGGUUAAGAGUUUGGAAUCCAUUGGCAUGCUUAAAAGUACACAAAAACACGAAAAAACGAGGUUUCGGAAUUCUGCAGAACUGACACGGUCGUGCCAUCAGGAAGCACGGUCGUGCUCCCUUUACAGGAGAAACUGACACGGUCGUGUCAUCUAGACGCACGGUCGUGUCACCUCACCAGUACAGCAAAAUGCAUUUUUACGUUUUUGCGCAUAAAAUCUUGUUUUCGAAUCCGAUUUCAAUUCCGUUUUCGCCAAUGAAUUCCUAACACUUAGACCAUACAAACCACACUUGAAAACUUGACAUUUAAACAUUAAAACAACUUAAUCAACUCAUCCCAAAAUGACUUAUUUUGCAAAAGCACUUAAAAACCACUUUUACUCAAAAACCCGUUUUCUUCCCAAAACGAUUUCUCUCCAAAACCAAGUGAUUAAAACAGAAAAUCAUACCAUCAUAAUUCAUUAUAACAACUUCCUUAUCUCAUUCAACAUCAUCAAAAUCAAACUUCUUCUUUAUCAACCCAUUUUACAAAACCACCAACAACAACUCAUUUUCUCAACAACAAUCAUGAUAUAUGAACACCCAAGCCAAAAUUCAUGAUCAACAACAUAUCUCAGCAACAACAACAUCAAUUGAAACUUGAUUCACACACCAAUUCAACAACAACAUGUCAUAAGUCAUCAAUUAAGCAUAAUUUCACAACAACCCAUUUUCAUACAUUAUGAACAUAUUAUUUCAUCAUCAACCAUUCAUUUAACAUCAAAUAACAUAUCCAAACAUAUCUCUACAACAUAAGCACGAAUUUCAAAGAUUGGGUUCAUGAUAAUCACUUAUUCUCAUAAUCAAUUAUGCAUAAAAUCAAGAGAAAAAGAAUUAAACAAAUGAUUAUGAUAAAGACUAACCCCCUUACCUUUGAAGAUGAUUAUUCCUAAACUCUUGCUUCAAUUCAGCUCCUAAUCUUACCCCAAUUAUUCCUCAAGCUAUUCUCUUCAAAACCCUUGUUCUUCUCAUCACCUCUUUCUCUCUCUAGGAAAAUUUUAGUGAAGUGAACGAAAGAUAUUUUCUAUGACAACCCUAAUGUUAUCUCCCUUAAUGGGCUUAACUCAAAAUGCUAAUGGGCCUAACCCAUUCUAACAUAAUUCUAAAAAGUUUCUAUACACCCCACGGUAAUUACUAACAACGGUAAAACAUAACCAACUGUCACUAACGGUAAAAACUAAUCACAACACUAGUAACUUAGUAAAAUAAGGGUUCUCACUUAAUAUGAAAAUAAUUCUCACCCAAAUUACCAUUUUACCCUUACCCGUCAAAUGACCAAAAUACCCUCCUAAUACGGAAAUCCAUGUAAAUGCACCCACUGACAAUUAAUUACACACAAGCACCAAUAAUCACACACAAACACAUAAUAAAAGUAAUUAAAAUAAAUCUAGCUAAAAAUCGGGCUGUUACAUAAACCACCAACAAUUAAUUUUUUAUUUUUGUUUUAAAAAAAUAAUAAUUUACUUUUCUUCAUCUUCUUCCUCCAUCUUCUUCUUCCUCAUCUUCUUACACAUUCAAACCUAUAAAAUAAAGCUGAAUUUUUUUUUUAUAAACUUGAUCUUCAUCUCUUCUUCUCUCAAAAGUUUAAAACUCAAUUCAUUUUUAUAAAAACUCAAAUUCAGGAGUUUCCCUCCUUCCAAAUACUUCAAAACAAACCAUUUAUUAAGAAAGUGAGAAAGAGAGAAAUGAUUCAUUAACUUGAAUAGAAGUUCAUGAAGGUAUUUUUAUACAUUUCUCAAAUGUACUAUAUAUCUAAGAUGAAGUGUACUACAUAAAAUAACCUAAUUGUACAACACUAGCUUUGUGACUUGUACUGCAAGCUAUCUUCAUUCUCAUGCUUUUUAUCCUUUGAAUCUAAUAGCAUUCGAAUUAGAUGCAAACAAGACUGAGUAUUUUCGGAGAAUAAAGCAAAGCCACCAGACUAAAUAGAAUGAUCAACAACAAAAUUAGAACUAAAUCCUAAAUUUUAUCAGAAAAUUCACAUUCAAAAAACAAAUGAUUAACAGUUUCAUCUUUUCAAAAAAACAAUUUCAUCUUUCUCACAUCCUAUAGUAAUAACAAGAGAUUCAGAACGAAGAAUCUCACGACGAACUAAAUUGGCCUUUGUAGAAAUCCUAUUAUUGAGAAGCCACCAAUCAAACAAGGACAAUUUCAACAAAGUUGUUUUAUUCCAACUAACAUUCAAGAGAGCUGAAGAUGUUGGAUAAAUUAUUUAAUUAAUCAAUUAUAAAUUGAUUCUAACAAAUUUUCAGAAAUUAUUUUUAAUACUACUAUAAAUUAUGGUACAUUAAUGUUUUAAGAAUUAAGUAAUUGAUGAAUAUGUGUGUUAGACUCUUUUUCUGAAUGGACAUGAUGGAUCAAACCAUACAAUUAAGCUCAAUUCGAGGUUCGUGUCCUCGAUCGUUUAACUAAUUCAAAGUCAUCCUAUCAAACGGUUAAACAUAAAACAAUAAUGUAAUAUGUGUAUGCAUUCAUGAUCUAUCUUUGAUAAUGUAAAAUAUAUGUUGUAAUUUGUAUUUUGAUAUGGCUAACUCUGUUAAAUUCAACAAUGGUAUCGGAGAAAAAAUAUAUAUUUUAUGGGUAUUUGUUUUUGAAUCGUCUGAACGGAAUAUGUUUUCCCCGUAUACUUAUUUUCAAUUGUUUGCAUGGGGCUAUUGUAUUGUUUGUUAAACCCUAUGAAGAAAAUUGUUAGAAGGGCUAUGAUGUACUACUGUCGUACUGAGAGAUGUCAAUGAAUGACUAAUGGUUAGAAGGGUUUACGAAAUUCCUUGGAGUCACUGCUGAUUAUUAUAUGGUUGAAUUAUGGGGAAUUUAUGAGCGUCUUUGCAUAGCAAGACUCUUUGGUAGUUGUUUAGAACACAAGGCAUGAGAAUAAUGAUAGUGUUAUGGAUAUAAAUCUUAUGAAGAAAAUCGUAGUGUGAGAAUCAAACUUUAAAUCUUGAGAAAGAGUACAUUUCAAAAAUCCAAGUCAAAACCAUCAGUGAGAAAGUCGAAUGAGUCAAACUAAGAGAUUUUGAUCACUCAUGUGUCUCAAAAAGCUAACAUGAGUUAUAAAAUUUUGAAUUUUUUUCACAGUCAUAUUUAGUUCAUUAUAAAAUUUUGAUUUUUUUUCACAGUCUUAUUUAGUUCAUUAUAAAAUUUUCUCUUACAAAAGUUUAAGUUUUUUAAAAAUGAAUGAAUUAAAUGUUAAUUUUUUACGUUUUGCUGCUUUAAAAUUCAUAUUUUGUUAAAAAAAAUCUUUUUUUUUUUCAAUCAAAAGAAAAUAUAAAAAAAAGAGGAAAUAGAAAAGCUAAGGGGGCAUAAACCUGACUCAACAAUCACAUAAUCAACCCAUAAAGCGUAUUACAACAGUGAUUAAACAAAAGUGGUAUAAAGAUACAAAUGCUUUGCGGUCAAAUACACAAGUACAAUUCGGCAAACCCAACGCGGGAUACGAAACCAAAUUUCAAAAGAAAGUGACGUAAAAAACAACAAGCAUAACCAUCAAACCAGACUAGAGACGAAUCUAAAUGAAAUUCAAACUCUUUUUUUUUUUUUUUUUUGUGGCGUAUGAACUGCCGCCAACACGGACAGAUUCACUGACCACCUACCGCUACAAAUAAAGACAGCAAGCAUCGCGGCCCUUUCGAGCACAACAAACUCUAAAAAAAAAUAUCUAUUUUGAGAGAAACCAUUCUUGUAAAAGAAAAACAUUGAGAGAAAAAGUAGAUGGAACAUGGCAUAACAUUCAUUAAUUCGAUCUAACAAAAUUGAUAUCUAAGAUGUGUGAGUGUUGUAAAUCCUUCAAAUUUACAAGGAUUCAAGUCCUUGAACAAAAAGUCGAGCAAAAUCUUCCAUUUGUUGCUUGUUCAAAGUCAAACCAAUCUCAAUUCCACCAUCAUUAUUCCUAUUUCCCGAAAGAUAAAAAGCUCCUGGUCUAUCAACCGAAGUAACAUCAACUUUCUUAGGCUUACCCCACCCAAAAUCAAAACUAUACACCUCAAACCUAGGUGACCCGGUAAUAGAAAAAAUCUUAUAAGUCUCAUCCGUUCUAGAUGUUUUAGAUUGCAUCAUUGACAUCCAAUUUUCCAAACCAUUUAACACACCAUUUUCCAAAUCAUUCAACACAUCAAUUAUCCCUUUAAGAGCACUAAUAAACCCACCAUCUUCCAACAAUGCCUCAGUUUCAUGCACAACUAAUCUUGACACAAUACAAUUCCCAAAAUAAUUUUCAUUAAUUGGUGGAUCCAAGCGUGACCUACAAUCAACAGCAAAAACCAAAAAUGCCUUAUUGGGUUUUUGUUGGUCAACUUUAACCCCUAAUGACAACAAAUAAGCACAUGUAACCGCAAAAGUUGAAACCUUUUUAUUUUCAACCUUAGAUUGUGCAUAUUUCUUAAGCUUUUGAAUAUCCAAAAGUGAUAAUUCAAACAAACCUUUGAUUGCUUCACCUUUUGUUGCACUUAUUGUUUGCCAAACCUUUAAGCUACGAUUAUUUGUUUCUCCACCAAAAUUCAUCCAUUUUUUUGAAUGAAUUUCAUUUAUUCCUAAAGGGUCUUUUAUAAUGGACCUAUCAAAAAAAGGUGUUAGAUUUUGAGGUAAAAACAAAGAGGGUGUGUUUUUUUCAAGGUUGGAACAAAAAUAAGACCAAGCUUUCAUAAACAAGGUUGAAGAUUUUCCAUCAACAGCUGCAUGGUGUGUGGUUAUACCAAUACAAAAUCCAUGGUUAGGAAAAAAAGUGACUUGUAGUGAAAUAAUUGAUGCUUUUUCAUGUGAAAUUUCCAAACUUGGGAUUAAGUUUUUUCUUUUUUCAACUUCACAAAGAUUGGAACAUAAAAUAUUGAAAUUUUCAUUUGACUCAGCUACAAUUAAGGGAAUGGAAUCACUAGGGACAUAGUUGAUGAUGGGAUGUGAUGAAUCUUGUGGCCAUAUGAUGUUACCAACAAGAAGGAGGAAGUGUUGGAGUGUGAGUUCAAGAGAGUGUUUGAGAUUUGGAAGAAUUGAAUCAAAGAAAGAAGUGGUUGAUACAUUUGGGAGUUCAUAGAAGAAGAGACGUUCAACUGGUGGGAGUCUUACCCAUAGUGUGUCAAAGAAAGUUAAGGGAAAAGUGGUUGGAAAGGUUUCAUUUUGUGGUGCUAUUGAAAGAACUUGAUGAACUUUGAUUGGAGAUGUUGAUGAUUCCAUGAGAGUGGGAUGAAACUGAUGAUGAGAGUGGUUGAAGAACCAAAGAUUUUAUAGACUUGUAACUACUAUUAUUAGGGUUUUUCUAUGAUGAAAAACAAAGCAUACCACGUAAUACCCUCAAAGCUGGCACUAUGAUAGUAGGAAGACCCAAUUACUUUGUGGCACCUUCGUAUCACACCACCUCAUCAAAAAUCCAUCGGAUUCCACGUCCACUCCUAAAAAACUUUAUAAAAAAAAUAAUAUUACUACUAUAGUAGCAGACGUUGUUGUCUAUUUCACCAACUCUCUUACGUGCACCAAUUAGGUUAAUGGAGUAUGUUGAAUGUCGCUCACGUGCUAACGUAGUUAUGAGCAACGAAUCUCAAUUGGGUUAGUUGGCGAAAAGAAGGUACUCACGUGUCCGUGUUGAAUGUCGCUCACGUGCUUACGUAGUUAUGAGCAACGAAUCUCAAUUGGGUUGGUUGGCGAAAAGAAGGUACUCACGUGUCCGUUUUAUGUUUUUUUAUAUGAAAUUUUGAUUUUGAUUUAAAUUAUAAGGAUAAAUAUUUGUGGCUUUCAAAUUAUAACAAACUAAAAAAUCAUAUUUAUCUUUGUCAUGACAACAGUAAUUUAACAAAUUUAAUAUAAUUCUUAUCUUUUUUAAUAUCACUAACAAUAUAACAUUAAUGUAUAACUGAAAUUAUAAAAAAUUCAAACACAAAAUCUAUAUCCUCUUCAUAUAUAAUAUUGAUAAUAGUGAUCAUAUUGUGGUGAGAUAUUUCAUAUUUUAAUAGAAUUUAAUUUUUUUAUUAAAAUUUAAAAUAAUAUUAUUAAAAAAUAAAAUAGUUUAAACGAAACGUAAAAUAACUAAUGAAAAAUUCAACUCAAACUCAUAUUUUAAACUUGUUUUCUUUUUAUAUAGUAUAGAUAUAUGUUUUAUUAUAAAAAAUUUACUAACAAAUGUUAACCAACCGUAUCAUACUCCUUUUUUUUUAAUAUAUAUUAGUGAAAAGACGGGCACACUCGUGUGCCCGUUUUACCGUUCUUUUCAUUGCACUAACGUUUGAAAAUUAUGAACGGUGUUUUUUUUUAAUAAAAUUUAAAUUUUGAUUAAAACUAAAACUAAAAAUAUAAAUGUUUUUUUUAUUUUUUUAAUAAUAACAAUCUUUAUUAUAAUCCAGAAGUCCUAGCUCAACUGACAAAAUGCUGAAAUUGUUAGGCCGGAUGCCAUGAUCGGGGUUCGAAUCCCAGUACCUCCACUUGUGUGUGUGAGUUUAUAAUAGCUUUGCCAUUUCGUCUAUCUACAAAAAAAAAACCAAUCUUUAUUAUAGAAAAAGUUGUUUAAGGGUAUAAUUGAGAUAAUGAAAAAGCAAGUAUAAAUAUACUCAUCUAAUUUGUUACAGUUUUUAAACGAUAAAGCAGAAAACAGAUAUAUAUAUAUAUAUAUAUAUAUAUAUAUAUAUAUAUAUAUAUUUGAAAGAAAAAACAGACAUAUAUAUUCAUAUCGUAUUUGCUACAUUUUUUUAAUAUUUAAAUUUAUUCUUAUCUAUUUAUUACAUUGUUAUUUGAAUUGAAAAUUGAAGUCAUUUUUGAAAAGAAAAGUUAACUUAAAAGAACUAAAAUGGGUUGUUUUCAUUUUAUAUAUAUAUAUAUAUAUAUAUAUAUAUAUAUAUAUAUAUAUAUAUAUGAGUUUCAUAACGGCUACCUCCUCGUGAUUGAGAUUUUUUAAAAAGAUAAAUGAUUCUUAGAAAAUGAAAUAAAAAAUAGAUAGUAACAUGCAGUAAAGUGAGAUUCAUUCCUAGAAGCACGUGAGUGAGAUUCGACAUUCUUUUUCUUUCUAAGGAAGGUGAGAUUUCGAUAUGAUAUGUUAACCUAAUGGCCUAUGGGUGCACGUGAGUGAGUUGCCGACAUAGAUAAAUGCUACUGACAUGCUGUAAAAAUAAAAGGUUAAAUAGUUUAUGGGUCCUUUAAGUUUCACGUUUGUUUUAAAUAAAUCCUUUAAGUUUUUAAGGUUUCAUAUAGAUCUUUUAAGGUUCGAGUUUGUUUUGAAUAUGUCUUUUAUGUCAACCUCGGUUAAGCCAAAGUUGUUUUGUCUGUUAAGCCAAAGCCUAUAUGUGUGUUAAGUGGGUGAGUUGGUUCUCUCUAACACUUGACAUCAAUUUUUUUCCCAAUCAAAUCAACUUUGGCUUAACGGACAGAUCAACUUUAGCUUAAUAGAGGUUGAUAGAAAUGACCUAUCUGAAACAAACUCGAAACUUAAAGGACUUAUCUGAAACCUUAGAAAUUUCAAGGAUAAAUACAUAAUAUAUGCAAAAUUCGCGAUUCAAACUACAGCCACCCAAAAAAAAAAAUAAGCACGUGAAUGAGAUUCAAAUACAUUGUUAGGAAGAAAAACAGUUUUUUUUUUCUUCAUAUUAUAUUGUAGGUACAAAAUUUUUAGUAUCAUCUAAUUGUGAUUAAUUUUUGCUGCAAAACCUAUUAGUACACAAAUUGAGUUCUCACCCUUUCGGAGCAACUCUUGCAUAUUUUCUUUUAGGAAACUCUUACAUUGUCACAAUGCUAAAUAAAAUUUAUUUGUACACACAUAAAUGAUAGUAAAAUUUAAAACAAAAAUGACAUUAAGUGAUGUGUUAAAUUUUAUUUUUUUAUAUGCAUGUGUCUAAACUAGAUCGUGAACCCGCGCUUCGCACGGGAGAACGAUUAUUACAACAUGUAUAUACGAAAAAUGCAUGGUUAAUUGACACAAAAAACAACAAAAUAUGGUAGUCAAAAAGAGAUCGCAUUUGAAGCGUCAUUAGAAUAGAUAAUAAGUAGCAACAACAUUAAUUAGUAGACAUUUUAAAAUACUUAUUCGUACACUACAUUUGAGGAUAGGUCGGUCUGCUCUAGGUUGAUUACAAAAUCUCAUUUCGCCACAAUGAGUAUAAUUUGCUUGUUGAAUAAGCUAAGAACAGAUUGAUUACAAAAUCUUCUUUUGUCCAUUGGCUACCACAUGGUUACAACUUCCAAGACAGAAAUAAAAUACACCUACUUUGUUAAGCAACUACAUUUUUUGCUAUAGGUAGUGAAUUAAGACCAAUGAUAAUAAUAAGAAACUUUUUUCAUACAGAAACAAAUUAGUAAUGGAACAAAAAUUGCAUUUAUAAUAAUAAGCCAAAAAUGUGCAUUGCAUGAUUCACAAAUUCAUUUGGAACCAACAUUCUUCAAAAGUACAUAAAACCAAAACUUAAUCUUCAAAACUGAGAUCUUCAAAUUGCUCAAACCAAAAGAGUUGAACAAAACAGAAGAUUACACUACAUAUAGUUCCAUCACUACUUGAUCUUCAUAUUACUUGAAAGAAAAAAAAAUAAAAAGUAAACAACAUAUAAAAGUCCACCGCAAAAUUCCACCAGUACUUAGCAAUGUUCGUGACAAUAAAUGAGAGACAAAAAUCUGCUAUUUGAAUAAAACAUGUAGCAAUAAGUGAUCAAGAACACACGGAAACGAUAUUCAUAACGCUUCAAAGUAGGGUAGAGUUUUGCAUAAGUAGCACAGAAUCCAACAAUGAAUGUACUACUAAUAACUAUAAUUUCUUCCCAUUCUCCAGCCAAUGCUGAUAACUCUCCCAUUCCAACAGCAAGUCUUCCAGCUGAGAAUGUCCCUAAUACUCUGUUAAACCCCUUGCUCAGAGUUGCCCCUGUCAAAUUCCAUUGCAUUUUUAUCAUAUAAUAAAUUGAAAGCAUUGAAGCUGGAUUCACCUCAGAAAUUGACUUAUGCUGAAGCAAUGGAUGCAUAAAUAAGCCAUAAAACAUAACGAACAUAGUGGCAUCAAUAAAAUUUGGUAUUGCAUUUGUAUAGUAAGAUGCUUUUGAUCAAAGUUAAAAAUAUGUUUUUGCUCGUUCACGUGCUUGCGUGAGUCAAUUCACGUUAAAAAUAUGUUUAAUUUGAGUUAACUCACAUUGAAAAAACUGAGUGUAAGUUAAUCAUGCUUGACAUAAUUAAGGGAAUGAACAAUUUUGAAAUGGAGAAGAUCAAUUUCUAUAGAAUAUUGUAUUUUUUUUAGGAGAGUUUGUCUUGUCCAAUUUUUUAUUUUAAGUAAGUGAUCAAAAGAUACAAUUUUUGGCACUAAAGUCUAGUCAUUGCACAUCCUAUACAUGAACAAUGUCAAGUAAACUCACAAGAUCAAUAUAUAAUUGUUCUUAGAUAAGAAUAAGAUGAGAGGCUAAUAAAUUUACAUGGUACAACUUAUAUUUAAAUACUACGGUCCAAUUUACAAGAUUAGUUCUAACUAUGACAUUCUUAUAACGUCUUUCAUUAUAAAUAAUUUUAUAGAUUAAAUUGAUUAUCGAAAAGACAUACAAGACCUACUUGAUGACCCAAAUUGACUAAGAAAAGAUGCAUCUAUGCAUGUUUUUAUAAUUUUUAUCCAUUCAAGGACUAUGUCAAAAUGUUUCAAGAUACUAUUAUCACAAUGUUUAAAAAAAAAAGAAAAAAAAGGCUAUAGUCUAUAGACAGUACUGCUGCUGCUUCUGCACUAUUUUGGCUAUAUUGAGAAAGGUGAGAGCAAUGAGUCAUGGUGAGCUACUGAGCUUUGAGCAAGAUGCUUCUGUUAUGAAUUUGUGGACCAUUUAUUGAGUCAUAAUUGUACUCUUUCACUGAUUCGUCAUCAAGUUUUUACAGAACAGAACCCUCUCUUAGGUACCCUUCAUUCACUAUUGCUUUUUAGAAGAGUCUUCUUAAAACAUCAUAUAUCAAAUUGCUUUCUUCAUUUAUCGUUAACAUUUUCUCUGUCCCUCUGUGUGUCUAUCACUCUCUGAUGGACACUGUGCUUCUCCAACAGUUACAUGACAAAGAAUAAUCUUUUUUUCCUCCCACUUCAUCAAUGAAGCACGAACACUCUUCGGAUUAGACGUGUCCUGGUGUCGGAUAUGUGUCGUGUCUGACACCGACAUGACACUGACAUAUAAAAUUAUACUGAAUCAUGUGAUUUUCUCGAAUUAUUAGCGGUGUCGACGUGUCAGUAUCCGUGUCAUGUCCGGUGUCCGUGUAUGUAUCUGUGCUUCAUUAGUUCAUCCUCGUCUUUAUGUUCUUCUUCAAUUUCUUCUCAUAUAUAUAAGAAUGAUUUAUCUAGAGUAAGUUUGCAUCUAUAUCAUAUGUCAUGAAAAUCUGGAACUAUAUACUUGGGACUUUCACUCACUCCACUGGAUCAUACUUGGUACCUAGAAUUUAAGUUGCUGAACUAAAGUUGUUAUGGAGUUUUUUCGCUAUUGCUGGUGCAUUCAACUCUAGCAACUAGAUGAACCAUAAUAAGAUAAGGGAUGACUUGGGAUUUUUCAUGCACGUCAUCUAUCUAUAGUCUAUACUAUACAUGUGUGUAGUGUAUGUAUUUGUGCGAAAUGAAGUUAAAGUAAUUGAAAAAUAGUUUAAUGAAAAUACAUCAAUAACGCAAACAAAUAUUACACGAAUAAUUAAUUAUAUUAUUGGUACAAGAUUUGAAAAUCCGCGUAGCAUGUGAAAUAUAAUUGACUAUACAAGGGUAAAAUUAUACCCUAUCGAGUUAGGGUUUCUAAAGUUCAACAUUUAUCUAAUCAAAAUUUAAGGCAUAGAUUUAACUCAUUUGUGUGAUUGUUCUUGAGACCAAAUGAUUUUCAAACUUUCCUCAUGACAUAACAGUGGCAUCAGAGCCUGGUUAUUAAAGGGAACAACUUGUUGGAAAGUAGGGGGAAUGCCAGAAGUAAUAAUGGGUCAAUGCUCACCACAAGAGAGGGAGACACUAACUCAACCGAACAAGUAGUAUCAAAGCCCUUGUUCAGCUUGUUGGGGUAGCGGUAAUGGGAUAUUGGUAUUGAAUCCUUUAAUUGAAAGUAUUUCUAACAGUGUAGUCAUGGGGUGUGCUCACUUAGUAAUAACAAUGGUACACAUAUAAGAUGUGAGAGACUCGCAUAUGAGUGGAGAUUGUUGCAAGUCAAGUGAGCUAGAAAUUACACACCGGAUGAAAAAUUGCACGUUGAAGAACAUAUAUGUGAGAAUAUCCAUAUACCUAAUGCUUUAAGAUUUUAGGUUGAUGUGUGGUUGUUCUAGAUAAAAUGUGAUGAUCUCUGAGAUCCCCUCAUGACCCGUGCCGAGAGCAACAAUAUAAUAUUGAUGUUACAUUUUAUAAUAAUACAUAUAAAUAUGAAAGAAAAGAAAAAAAACUAAGGUCCCCUCCAUACAACCUACUAAACUACUCCUUCAAAAACCUCUAGAACUACCACUUGACACCGUCCCAUUCACAGCAACAUGUCUCCCUAACAACACCUUAACCCAUAACCCUCCUUGAUUGACCCUCAACCUCCAAAACCAUUUAUCUAGUAAAGUCAAAUUAUAGUCACGCACCCGUCUCACCUCUAAACCAUCACUAUCAUGAUCUACACACAUUUUCUACCAUUUUUCCCAAUGAUAGUUGCAAGAUUACUCUCCGCUCCCCUUAUUUUUACAAAAGAUAUAUUGUUAUAUGAAAAUGAAGUUAUUAUUUGUCAAAUGUUUUGUCAUGUUCUAGGUUUGUCGAAAUUUGGAUCCCUGUCAUCUGAUCCAACACAAUUAAUUGACUAACUAAUAAUUAUUAGUUAGCUACGAUUAGAGUAUCCACAAUGGAGACAUCCAUUUUUGGGUUUUUAAAUGGGUCUUACGUGUACACAUCACUUAUUUAUAAUUUUUUUUUGUAGUAGUAUCUAAUAAGCACUCAAUCACUCCAACCGAGAUCUCACACAAAGUUCUUAAAUGGGACCCACUAAUCAACUAUCAAUAACUUUAUAUUAUUAUAUUUCAAUUUUUAAAUAUUAAAAGAGUGCGGGUCCCGCUUCAAAGUGGGGUCUUUAAUAAGACCCCAUAUCUUAUAGGACUCUGUAAAAGAUUCUCCUCAUUGGGGUACCUAAUAGGUACCGGAUCUUAAAUAGUUAAGACCCUUCCAAUGGAGAUGGUCUUAAAAAGCUAACUAAACUAACUUAUAGUACAAGUAAUUGAAUUUAAUUGUUAAUAAUUACAUCAAACUUGUGUUACAAGUAAUUGAAUCUUUUGUAAGUGCAAUUUAAGGAUAUCGAAGUCUGUUAGGCUCUUUUACUACUACUAGGAAAACUAUGGUAACUAGGGUUCUUAGGUAAAAAAGGAAGAAGAGAAGAUAAACUAUCUAAAAAAUAAAAUGCAUUUUUAUUUAUUCAUUUUGAUUCCUUUCUCAAAAGGGAACACGCACUUAGUCAUCUAUGUGUCGUAAUCUUAAGUCCUAAAAAUAUCCUAAAAACAUAAUAUAAAAUAACAACUAACUAAGACCCGCGCGUUGCACGAUUUAUAAUUAUGUUUGGGAUGAUUUAAGAUAAAGGAUUGUUAUUAUAACAACUAUUUUAUGGAACAAUUAAAAUAUAAAAAGAAAUAUAAAUUUGGCUUAAUAACAGUUUUCGCCCCCUAACUUUUAAGAAGUUGCGAUUUUGACUUCCUAAGAAAAAAACUAUAAAACCACCCCUAAGUUUUGGCCUCCAAAGACCAAUUUUUUGGAAAAAAAAGUAAAAAAAUAACAUGUGACACCUCACUUAGGGUGUCACGUCAGCGUAGACCAAGUUAAAAUUGACAUUGGGAGCCAAAACUGCCACAAUUGCAAAACUUAGGGGGCAAUUUUGUUGUUUUUUUUCUUAGGAAGCUAAAAUCGCAACUUUGGGAAAGUUAAGGGGUAAAACCGCUAUUAAUCCUAUAAGUUUUGGUACAAAACUAAAGUAAUAGAGAGAGUUUUUGCAUGGAUUUUGAAUAGAAUAACUAAACUGAUCUGAAGUUCCACUUCCAUCAAUACUUGUAUUGAAUUUAAAUUAAUUAUCGAAAAGUUUGUAGACAAAGUUCCGUGCUAUAUAUACCUUGAUAUAUUUCCUUUAGGAGAUGUAUAAUACAAAAAGAAAAGAGAAGAAGAUACCGUAGGCUCUAUAUGGUUGGCAAACAAUAGGGGUUUUCCGUGAGGAAUGGUGAUUGAAUUAAUGGAGGAUAAGUGAAAAGUGCAAUAAUUGAAAAAUUAUGAUGUGGUGAAAAUGUAACCAUGCGACAUAUAAUUUGAUGAGAUGUCAACAACAUAGCUUGAAAGUCUAUUACUCUAUCCGUUUUAAAAUAGUACUUCAUCGUUUAAAGUUUUUAUAUAUAAAUUAAGAAAUAUAAUUAAGACAUGACAAUUUUAUUAAACUAGUCUUAUUUACUACUCAUUCCAUUCAUUUUUUUUUGAUGUUUUAGAACUUCAACUAUAUUUCAAAACUUUUGAUGUUUUAGUGAAUUUAUUAUUGUUUUCUCAAGUUUACCCUUGUUGGAAAACACAAUAAACUAUUAAAGUAGUUUUGACAUUUGAUUUAUCACAGGUGAAUUUAAUGUUAAAUAAAGAUGUCAUACCCCAAAUUUUGACCACUUUUCUCUAUUCUUACCCAUUUUAUUCGUAUUUUUAAAGUCGGGAAUUUUCGUCGUUUCAGACGAAAUUUUGGCAAGGAGGUUACUUUGAAGUACCUCAUUUUUGAUUCCGAGUCGGACCCUCUUUUCUCUUUUUAUUUUCUUUCCAUCUUUUAUUAAUUUUAAUUUUAAGAUUAGUUACUUUUUUUAUAUUUAAUAAUUUUUAUUUUCCAUCUUUUAAUUUUAUUUUUCUUUACAUGAUUUAGUUUAAUUUGUUUUAUUUUAUUUCGUAUUAGAUUUAUUUUAUUUUUAUUUUAUUUCUUUUUAAUUAAUUAGUGUAAAAAGAAAAAANNNNNNNNNNNNNNNNNNNNNNNNNNNNNNNNNNNNNNNNNNNNNNNNNNNNNNNNNNNNNNNNNNNNNNNNNNNNNNNNNNNNNNNNNNNNNNNNNNNNNNNNNNNNNNNNNNNNNNNNNNNNNNNNNNNNNNNNNNNNNNNNNNNNNNNNNNNNNNNNNNNNNNNNNNNNNNNNNNNNNNNNNNNNNNNNNNNNNNNNNNNNNNNNNNNNNNNNNNNNNNNNNNNNNNNNNNNNNNNNNNNNNNNNNNNNNNNNNNNNNNNNNNNNNNNNNNNNNNNNNNNNNNNNNNNNNNNNNNNNNNNNNNNNNNNNNNNNNNNNNNNNNNNNNNNNNNNNNNNNNNNNNNNNNNNNNNNNNNNNNNNNNNNNNNNNNNNNNNNNNNNNNNNNNNNNNNNNNNNNNNNNNNNNNNNNNNNNNNNNNNNNNNNNNNNNNNNNNNNNNNNNNNNNNNNNNNNNNNNNNNNNNNNNNNNNNNNNNNNNNNNNNNNNNNNNNNNNNNNNNNNNNNNNNNNNNNNNNNNNNNNNNNNNNNNNNNNNNNNNNNNNNNNNNNNNNNNNNNNNNNNNNNNNNNNNNNNNNNNNNNNNNNNNNNNNNNNNNNNNNNNNNNNNNNNNNNNNNNNNNNNNNNNNNNNNNNNNNNNNNNNNNNNNNNNNNNNNNNNNNNNNNNNNNNNNNNNNNNNNNNNNNNNNNNNNNNNNNNNNNNNNNNNNNNNNNNNNNNNNNNNNNNNNNNNNNNNNNNNNNNNNNNNNNNNNNNNNNNNNNNNNNNNNNNNNNNNNNNNNNNNNNNNNNNNNNNNNNNNNNNNNNNNNNNNNNNNNNNNNNNNNNNNNNNNNNNNNNNNNNNNNNNNNNNNNNNNNNNNNNNNNNNNNNNNNNNNNNNNNNNNNNNNNNNNNNNNNNNNNNNNNNNNNNNNNNNNNNNNNNNNNNNNNNNNNNNNNNNNNNNNNNNNNNNNNNNNNNNNNNNNNNNNNNNNNNNNNNNNNNNNNNNNNNNNNNNNNNNNNNNNNNNNNNNNNNNNNNNNNNNNNNNNNNNNNNNNNNNNNNNNNNNNNNNNNNNNNNNNNNNNNNNNNNNNNNNNNNNNNNNNNNNNNNNNNNNNNNNNNNNNNNNNNNNNNNNNNNNNNNNNNNNNNNNNNNNNNNNNNNNNNNNNNNNNNNNNNNNNNNNNNNNNNNNNNNNNNNNNNNNNNNNNNNNNNNNNNNNNNNNNNNNNNNNNNNNNNNNNNNNNNNNNNNNNNNNNNNNNNNNNNNNNNNNNNNNNNNNNNNNNNNNNNNNNNNNNNNNNNNNNNNNNNNNNNNNNNNNNNNNNNNNNNNNNNNNNNNNNNNNNNNNNNNNNNNNNNNNNNNNNNNNNNNNNNNNNNNNNNNNNNNNNNNNNNNNNNNNNNNNNNNNNNNNNNNNNNNNNNNNNNNNNNNNNNNNNNNNNNNNNNNNNNNNNNNNNNNNNNNNNNNNNNNNNNNNNNNNNNNNNNNNNNNNNNNNNNNNNNNNNNNNNNNNNNNNNNNNNNNNNNNNNNNNNNNNNNNNNNNNNNNNNNNNNNNNNNNNNNNNNNNNNNNNNNNNNNNNNNNNNNNNNNNNNNNNNNNNNNNNNNNNNNNNNNNNNNNNNNNNNNNNNNNNNNNNNNNNNNNNNNNNNNNNNNNNNNNNNNNNNNNNNNNNNNNNNNNNNNNNNNNNNNNNNNNNNNNNNNNNNNNNNNNNNNNNNNNNNNNNNNNNNNNNNNNNNNNNNNNNNNNNNNNNNNNNNNNNNNNNNNNNNNNNNNNNNNNNNNNNNNNNNNNNNNNNNNNNNNNNNNNNNNNNNNNNNNNNNNNNNNNNNNNNNNNNNNNNNNNNNNNNNNNNNNNNNNNNNNNNNNNNNNNNNNNNNNNNNNNNNNNNNNNNNNNNNNNNNNNNNNNNNNNNNNNNNNNNNNNNNNNNNNNNNNNNNNNNNNNNNNNNNNNNNNNNNNNNNNNNNNNNNNNNNNNNNNNNNNNNNNNNNNNNNNNNNNNNNNNNNNNNNNNNNNNNNNNNNNNNNNNNNNNNNNNNNNNNNNNNNNNNNNNNNNNNNNNNNNNNNNNNNNNNNNNNNNNNNNNNNNNNNNNNNNNNNNNNNNNNNNNNNNNNNNNNNNNNNNNNNNNNNNNNNNNNNNNNNNNNNNNNNNNNNNNNNNNNNNNNNNNNNNNNNNNNNNNNNNNNNNNNNNNNNNNNNNNNNNNNNNNNNNNNNNNNNNNNNNNNNNNNNNNNNNNNNNNNNNNNNNNNNNNNNNNNNNNNNNNNNNNNNNNNNNNNNNNNNNNNNNNNNNNNNNNNNNNNNNNNNNNNNNNNNNNNNNNNNNNNNNNNNNNNNNNNNNNNNNNNNNNNNNNNNNNNNNNNNNNNNNNNNNNNNNNNNNNNNNNNNNNNNNNAAGUUCGGCUCGCAUAUGCAGACACUCGUGCAAACAGGAAAAAUGGAUCGACUUGAGCAAGAGGUCCACGAGAUUCGUGGAGAGGUAACAACACUUCGGGCUGAGGUAGUGAAGUUAACUAGCCUAGUAUCUUCAUUGAUGGCCACAAAGGACCCACCGCUUGUUCAGCAACGGCCUCAGCCACUAUGUUAGCCAAUAUGCAUGGAACGACCUCGACAACAGGGUUCUCAACCGCUUAUUCCUCAAAAUCAGGUUCGAAAAGCAUCGCAGUGUGACCCAAUUCCUGUGAAAUAUGCGGAUUUGCUUCCCAUUUUGCUAAGGAAGAACCUUGUUCAAACCUUGCCACUUCCUCAGGUGCCGAAUCCGCUGCCACCUUGGUACUGCCCUGACCUCAACUAUGCAUCCCAUCAAGGGGCACUAGGUCAUGACACUGAGCAGUGAUAUCCUUUGAAAUUAGAAGAAGUUCAGAAGUUGAUUGAAAAUAACGCCUGGUCCCUCGAAGACCCAAAUAUAAAAGUGCUACUUCAACAACAACAUCUGGCCACUCACUAUGUUGCCGUUGUUAGGCCCAUCGCCAAUGUUGUUCAAGAUCCGGGUUAUAAACCCCAGUUUCGACCAAGUCAAGAACAGUAUAUGGCUUCUCACCCUGUUGCCGCUGUUAUGCCCAUCAUGAAUGUUGUCCAAAAUCCGGGAUAUCAGCCCCAGUUUUAGCAAUAUCAACAACAGCCUCGACAACAAGCUUCGGGACAACCAAAGUUUGAUCUGAUUCCCAUGAAAUAUGGAGUGUUGCUCCCCGAUUUGCUUAGGAGGAAGCUUGUCCAGACCAGACCACCUCCUUGUAUGCCUAAGAAAUUGCCAGCUGGGUAUAGGCCCGACCUCUCUUGUGUCUUCCAUCAAGGGGCACCUGGUCAUGAUAUUGAGCGUUGUUUUGCUUUUAGAAAUGAAGUUCAGAAGUUGAUCCAAGAUAAGGUCUUACGCUUCUAAGAUUGAACGCAGACAUGCAAGUUAAUCCGCUAUCGGAUCUUGAAGCCAAAAGUUGAUAAAUGGAAUGUUUAGCUACAAUUGGAUCUUUGAUGAUGUUUAUUUCUACUACUCAUUUGUUCAAUUAAUAUGUUUGUUUGUUGCUUUAUGUUUUUCAAGAAAAAAUUAAAAAAAAAUCUUUCCUUCCCACCCGAGGCGAAAGUGAAUUUGUUUAGGGCUUUUGCUUUAUGUAUUUUCAUCAUUAAUGAAAGGUCGUCUUGAUNNNNNNNNNNNNNNNNNNNNNNNNNNNNNNNNNNNNNNNNNNNNNNNNNNNNNNNNNNNNNNNNNNNNNNNNNNNNNNNNNNNNNNNNNNNNNNNNNNNNACGGAAUACCGUAGAUGCUUAGGGUGCUAGCACCUUCCCUUCGCAUAACCAACCCCCGAAUCCAAAGUCUCGAUAAGGGUUUUUACUCAUUUUUUCCCUUCUUAUGAAUAAAUAUUGAGAGUUCAAAGAUUGACGAUUCAAAUCAAUUAAUGGUUUGAUAUCCGAAAAUCACGAGCACAAAAGACAUUUAAGUAAAAAACACACAAAUAUUUAUAUACUUUAAUUACUCCUUAAAACUUGUGUUAAGAGCUAAAACAUCAAAAGAAAAGGAAUGAAAGGAGUAUUGAUGUAAUGCUUUGAAAGCAGUGUACGCUUAAUUAAUUAGAUGGUACAAUUGAAAGUAAAAUAAUAAUUCUACAUUGAAAAGUGCAAGUGACAUUAAUUUUGAAAUAAUUGUUUUUUUUCUUUCUAAAACGACACUUAUUUUAAAAAUGAUUUUAAAAAAUUGUAUGAUAGAUAGAUAGAUACAUCAAAAUACUAAUUAAAAUAUUUAAAUAAUAAUUCAUGGAUUGGAUCAAAUACAAGCCACCUAUCAAAGUUCGUACUUUUUUAAUUUAAAAUAUUCACUAAUAAAUAGGGUUUUGAAUUUUCUUUCAUUCAAAAAAAUAGGAUAGAAUUUUGAAUUUGGUAUACAUCAACAUCUAGCUCAUUAUGUGUGAAGGCUAAAAUAGUUUGCAAAUCGCCUUUGUAAAAUGAAGAAGGGAAGAAUCCUCGUAAAUUUAGCUCAGUUGGUAAGGACAAUGCAUAAUAUAUAUAAGAGUUGGGGUUCAAAUUCUAGACAUUUCACUUCUGCACAUUUAAAAAUGUGUGAGCUCCAGCCACUAGACUACUUGACAAAAAAAUGAAAAACUAAAGAAAAUAUGCGUACGUUUCUUUUAUCUUUAAUUUUACACAUUAAUCAUUGACUUUCUUUUUGUAGAAAAGCAUGCAAUUAAUCCACUUGUGAUUGUGUCAUAUAUGCUGUGGAUUCUCAGUGAUAAUCACAACUUGCCUACCUUGCACUGCCCCCAUGGAUAUCUCUAUGCAUUGAAAUUUUGUGGUCCUAAAGUGUUGUAAAUAAAAGAUAACAAAUAUUGGUCCCUCACAUUUGUCCGAAUAAGUAGAAUUAUCAUACACAAAGACAUGUGACAAUACCUUCCACAACUUUUGAAUCUAAUUACUAAAUGACUUAUCCAAAGUUGGUUUCUUUGUUUGCUCUCCAUGUGAUGCCUUCUCCUAGCUAUUUUUGUUUUCUCUAACUCCCUUUUUUCCUCUUUAUCACUUUUCCUUUAUCUUUUUAUUAUUGCUUAAUUUAUUCAAAGUCUUUGUUAGGGUGGUAUUCAAAAGAUUAUGUAUAUGUUUAAGAUUUUGUGAUUGUGUAAUUAUGAAUAAUAAAAUUAUUUUAGGGUGGGUCAAAAUCCAUUUAGAGUGGACUCUCCACGAUGGCGAUCCAAGUCAACACUUCGAUGAUUACCUUACCUCCACUUGAUAAUGUUAAGAGAUAGAUAUGCACCUUAUCACGAUGAGAACCACGUACCUGCUCAAGGUUUUCAACAGACUUUACCAUUUCUCCUAAAUAACACCGCGUAUUUUAAAUAUUUUAUUAAUAAGUUUUGAUUCCUGCCUAAUUUUAAAUUAAAAGUUUAUCAAAAUCAAGAGCCUAACAAAAUCCAUAAAUCAUGUAUCCAAAAACAAAACUUUGAUCUAAUUAAGAAGAAGGAAGAAUCAAGAGCUUAUGCAUGGCCCCUCCAUGUGAGGCAAUUCAAUAACGAAAUCUUUUUGUAGUUGCCGAUAAAGUGUGACUUGCCCCUUUUUUUGAAGCGUGUAUAAUCAAUGGUCCAUAUUGCAUGUGUUUAUUUGUUAUGUGAAAUGAAUUUCACAUUGUUAUUUUUUAAUAUGUCAAUUUUUUGUUUGCACUUUAUAUUAAUCUUGUGCAUUUUGUUUAAUAAUAGAUAAUUAAAUUUAUAUAGUUUAGAUUCACAUAUAUAAGUGUUGCAUAGCUUCUACUUCUUUUACCUUUGCCUUUGUAUAGGUUUCUUCAUGGUUGUAACCAGGUAUGAAAAAGGUGAUGGGGCGGGAAGACUGGUGGGACGGGAAUGAUUCUCUUCCCGCCCCAACUCCUUGCAAAAACCCACACCCUGUCUCUUUUUCUCUUGCUGAGGGUUGAAAAUUUGGGUCAUCACCAUUGCUAAUAUAUAAAAACAUAUUUUUUAUUAUGAUUAACACUUUAAACUAAUAAUAUUAAGCGAUAAUAAAAUAAAAAUUAUAUUUUAUAUAGAGUCGAGUUUACAAUUUAUAAUAUCUAAUAUAAUAUUAAAUAAACGUUUAAUAAAUUAAAUUUUAAUUUUUUUUAUUUAUUUAUCGAAGCAUGUUUAAGUGUGGAACAAAUAUUAUCACUCUCAUUUUCGUCUCUAACUUUGAAUGUUAAAAGAAAAACUUGAACCUAUAUUCAAUCAAAACGAAUUUUUUCUUGAAAAAUCAGGGUGGUCAGAUUUCCUCAUAUGCUAGUUAUGUUUCUCAUAUAUGAUUUAAAUCAUUUAUUCACUUAUACCAAUAUACAAAAACAAUUAGUUUGAUAACUUGUUUCAUUUUCCAUUAUAAGAAACGUUUUAAUUUGGCAACUACCUUUUUUUAGGGCUAAUUUGGCAACUAGCUAGCAAGAAGAGUAGUAUAUGCAAAGAAUUGUAUUAUAGUCAAGUCACUCUAACUAACUAACAAGUAUGUAAUAAUCAUGAAUGAAGUCAUUUUCAAUGAUCAUGCGUAUAGCAUAUUAUAAACGAUAAGAUGUAGACACAAAAUUUAUUUGACCAAUAAGGUUAUAUCUCACGUGGCCAACUAUUUGCCAUUGCUUUAUACGGCGUGGUCGGUUCCAUUUCUGCAUCUUCUUUUUUCCUACAUAGCUGCAGACUCAACCUUAUAACUUGUUCACCAAAAUUAUUCUAUAAAAUCAAGCCAAACCAAAGUUUCAAUUUAUAUCAUAUAUAGUACUUCUAGUUCUACUACUAGCUUGCCAUCAAAAGCAAGGUAUGCAUACACUUCCUUCUUCUUUCAUAUCAUAUAUUAGCAUGAUACAUAUCAAAGAGUGUUUGGUAACUAGGUAUUCAUGAGUGUUUGUUUCAUAGAUGUAUAUGUAUCUAGGGUUUUAUACAAACCUUUUCAAGUAUUAUUAACUUGUCCUAAAAUUUGUGCUAAAUGAUUACAUAGAUAAUAAUAUCCUUGCUCCCAUAAUAGUUACUAUGAAUUUGCUGUCUUUUUUUUAUUUUGCAGCAAACAUUUUCACAUAAUUUGAUAAGCUAGCUUCUGCUAUAAUUAUAAGAAUUUUUUAUCAUUUUCAUUUCCAACUUUAGGGAAUUAAGUUAAUUUCUUGUAUUCCCUUAGCAAUUUUUUCUUCUAAUUUUUCUUUUUAAGAAGGAUUUGACUCUUUAAAAAAAGAUUUGACGAUCUAACGUGAUAUAAGAAGUUUACUUAGACAAAAACAGGUAUUCAACACUCUCAUACAAAAUAUUUAAUUAUAUGUAAUUUAAAACAAACAUUAGUAUUCUUAUAAAAUCCUUCAACUUAUUUUUUGUAAGCCUAUUAUUUGUACAUAAAAUUUAAUUAUGAUUUAGAAUAGUAUUCUUAUCAAUAUAUAGUGGAAAAACAAUUAUUUUCUAAUAUUUUUCUCAAUCUCAAUUUCAUACUUUUCUGAAGCAGAUACUAGGAGUGACAACAAGCAAAAUUCAAAAUUAGAGAGAAUUUCAACCAAAACAACAACAUUUUACCAUGGAAGGAGACCAACAACAACAAUGAGAGAAAUAAGAUGAUUAACAUUCCAAAAGAAGCCGAAUUUCCAUUAAAACAAGAAGUUCUUCCAUCGAAUGAUUCAACUACAUCAUCGUCAACAACAUCGCAAUGGUUAAAACUAAAGGAUCCGAGAAUUGUGAGGGUGUCUAGAGCCUUCGGAACAAAAGAUAGACAUAGCAAAGUAUACACAAUAAAAGGACUAAGAGAUAGAAGGGUAAGGCUUUCAAUCCAAACAGCAAUUCACCUCUAUGAUCUUCAAGAUAGGUUAGGGCUAAACCAACCUAGCAAGGUUGUUGAUUGGUUGCUAAAUAUAGCUAAGGAUGAAAUUGAUGAGCUUCCACCACUUCAAAUACCUCAAGGAAACUUCACCUUAGGUUAUCCAUCUUUUGCUAGUACUAUUUUUAAUGAUGAUGUUAGGCAAAACAACACUUCAAUUUGGAAAUCAAAUUCUAAACAAGGUUUGGGAGAUAUUGUUACUAACAAAGAAAAUUGGAUGAAUAGAAGUGAAGAGGAUAAAGAAAAGAAAAAGGAGAAUGAUAAUCGUGAUUGUGCACAACAUGUUUCGCCAGAUAGUCUACUACCACAUUUAGUACCUGACAAUGUCUCAAAUAUAAUUAUCUCCCGUGGAGCAAAUCAACCUUCUUUUUUGGGAUCGUUGAACACUAUGCCACUUGGUUAUCAAUUGGAGCCGUCGUCUAGUCAUGUUCCUCAAUUAUCAAAUUUUGGAUUUGUUAACCAAAUUAAAGAUAUAGAUGGAAAUAAUGGAAUGCAUGUUGUACCCUUUCCAUCAUCAUUGUGUUUGUCAACACAACAAUAUUUUCCUUCACAUGUUGGAGCAGUGGAGAUGGAUCCAACACAAAUCAAUUACCACUAUGAUCAAAUGUUGAGUUCAAGUUCUCAAAACGAUUCUUUCAAUCCAACUCAACAACUCAUGAGGGUGACUCCUAAAUUUUUUCAUUCUCUCAACAACAGCGAAAGUUAUUCUUCCCAUAAAGACCAAGAUUUUCCUUCCAAGUGAUACACAAAAUACCAAGAUUUUAAUGUUUUGGACUGUGACAAGUUAGUUAAUUUCAGCAUAUUUUUUGUUAUGAUGUUUUAAAUAGUUAUUCCCUUUUUGUUAAUUAAUUCAUAUUUGGUUCCAAAUGUGAAACUUAAUUUUCCAUUUAGUUUAAUAAUCUAUGCCAUGCAAAGGUUUAGCAACAAUGAAUUUUUCAAGUGCAAGAGCUCUCUAUGAAGUGAUAAUAAAUUGUUCUAGAAGUGAAAGCAUGCUCAGAAAAAUUAACUUACUUAUUCUCUAAAUUGAGAAAGCUAUAUAUGAAGUUUUUUUAAGAGAAAGCUAUGAAGUUAGAAUUAAAAUUAUAAUUUUUAAUACGGGUUUGAAUGAGACAAAAUUCUAUAAUCUAGUGCCCUAUGCUGUAUGGCCUUUUUUUUGUUAAAAUUUAUUCUUCAUUGUUUUUAUUAAGAAAUUAUCGGUUUAUUCAGCCGUAUCGGAUUACAAGUUAGCCGUAUUUAACACGUAUCAAUCAUUUUUUUUUAAAUGAAUAAAUAUUAAUUGUCCGAUACUUAUCUGAUACGCAUAUAGGAACGUAUCGAGGCGUAUCAAUGUCGGAUACGUAUCGACACGAUGCUUCUUCAUUUUUAGAGUAUUGAGGCUUCACAUGGUACCAUACGUUAAGCUAAGGAGUACUGCACAGAAUUAGAGGUUAUACUUUUUAGGGAAGAAUAUAUUGGCAUUUAAAGUGUAAUAUCGAUUACAUCAAGCCAUGAUCAUUGCCAAGGACGAAUUGAUGAGAGCCUACUCAUUGCCAAUAACCUUGGUGAUGUGAAGAUAGUUGGCAAUCAGGGACGGAUCUAGACAUUUCAUAUUAGUGUGGCAAAAUUUCAAGUAAGCUUUACAUGCCUCAUCUUGGAUGCAGGAUGAUAGCUUGAAAUUGAAGGCCUAAAACCCUAAAAAAGCAAUUGUAGAAUGAAUGAGAAAGUAAAGAAUCAAUUGACUAUUUCACUAGAUUUGAAGAAGGAGUGAAGAUAGAAAAUGAUGUUGCUGACUGAUGAGAGUGGAAGAAGAAGAGGUUUGUUUGUUUGUUGUGAGAAGAAAGACGAUUGUGAAUUGUGAUUUGUGAGAAGAGAAGAAGAAAUCGAUUGUUUGUGAGAGUAGAGAAGAGGAGAAGAAACAACGCGUUUUGUUUUGUUUUGUUUGUGUUGUGUGUGUUUUCCAAUUUCCACUUUCCUUCCCAUGCCUUAUGUUUAUGCAUAUAAAAAAAAAAAACAAAAAUUAGGUUAGAAUCUGGUGUGGCAGCUGCCACACCAUGUUUCACUCUACAUCCGCCCUUGUUGGCAAUAUGACUGGAUGCUUCGGUGAAUUUAGAGAGUCUUUCCUUGAGAUGCAUGAUACGAGCAUGAGUCUUAUCGGAAAACAUUUUAUUGAGAGUGUUUCAAACUUGUUGUGAGGUUUUCACACUGUCAAGGGCAAUGAUGAUACUAAUAGAAAUGAUAAUAGCAUGCAAGAUUAGUUGAUCUUGUCUUUUCUAGUAAUUAUUACUUUACCAGUUAUUCAUACCCACGAAAAUCCAAUCAACUUUGAAGAUCUUCAUGAUCUUCUCUCUUAUUUUGAGAAACUGUCAUUAUGUUGUCUUCUCUUUUGAGAUAGUUCUCGAAAUCAAAGAGAAGAACGUGAGAAUCUUCAAAGAUGAUUAGAUUUCGCGGGUGCGAAUAGUAGUUGAGAUCUUGCAAUAUUCUAAUAUGAGUCUGUUGAGAUUAUGAAUAACUUGAUCUACGCCAUCCAAGUGCGAGUUGAAGAAAGCCAACUCAUUACCAAUAGCCUUGGUUAUGCAAAAAUAGUUGGAAAUAUGACUGGCUCCUUUGAUGAAUUUAGAGAGCCUUGUCAUUCUUGUUGUGGAAGACAUGGCAGUGUGAGAGAAAAAUAAAUAAAAGUUCUUGAGGAUCUUAUGUUGUUAAGCUAUCAAUGGAUGACAUAGAGGCAAUUACAAAUUUCAUAUUACACACAAGUUAAUCAGAAGCCAUCCUUGAAUAAUCAAUAAUUGUAGUAAACAUAGCAAACAUGCAUGUCAAUUGUAGUUACCAAAUUUAUCUACAAAUGUCUCAGUAUUUUAUUAAGUGUUAGUGUGUUGUUUAUUUUCAUAUAAAUUUUAAUCUAAUGCAAUUUACUUUCCUAAUUAAUCAAAUUUCAGAACUUUAAUUUUAUGCACAUCUAAAUUCUUUCACUUUACAUUUCAACAUUUUAUAUUUCUGCAGUUUAUUUUUAAAAUUCAUUGACAUUUCUUAUGCUUUUAGUUUUCAGUCAAUUUAAUUUUAUAUAUUUAGUUUUUUCAUUUUACAUUUUUUGACAUGUCUUUUCACCCAACACACUUCAAAUUUCAAACUCAAUAAUUUGAUAAAUGUUUUUACAUAUAAAUUUGUUGAUGGUGCAAGAAUUCAGUUAAGGUUCGACUAAUAUCGUCGAUUAUGAUUCCCUUUCUUCAAACGAUUAAUGUGGAGGGAGGAUCUAUGUACUUCAUUUGAGGGUAAAUAAAAGAAUCACUUUUAAAAAAAUUUGCUUGUCUAUCACAACUUUUUGAAAAAAAAUUAGAAUCUGCAUAAAAUAUAAAACUGUAAAAAAAAAAUAUUAAUUUCUUUUCAAAAAGUUAUUUUUAUUACAAUAAACAAACACAACAUUUCUGAUUGUUUUAAAAAACUACAUACAUUUUUUACUCAAUAAUCUCUAAAGAUUAUUAUUUAAAACUCUCCUAGAUGAAAAGUUUUUUUCUUGCAAAAAAAAAAAUUUAGGUGAAUUGGAUUUUCUUAAUAACAUUUACAGCGGUACAUACAAAUCUCUCAUUUUAUAUCAUCAGGAGUUGAACCUAUGACUUUUUUUUUUUUUUUUUUUUGUAGAUUGACGAAAUGACAAAAUCAUUAUAAACUAACACACACAAUUAAAGGUAUCGGAGUUGGAACCCCGAUCAUGACGUCCGGCCUAAUAAUUUCAGCAUUUUGACCGUUUAGCUAGGACUUGUGGAAGUUGAACCUAUAACUUUAGGGAUGAGUCAAUUUGUUACAAUUAAACGGAAAAGUUAUUUAUAUAAAUAUUUUUAUUUUUUUUGCAAUAAUGCCUAAGAAGAACAAAGUAGUCCAUAGCAUUUCCAUGCCAACAUAUACACGAUCACGUUUGGUGUCGUUUAAGCUCGCCUUAGCUCAAUACCACGACGUCGUUUUGGAGUCACUACUUUCUCAGUAUAAAUACCGCAAACUUCUCGAGAGAAAAUGAGAAGUUUCUUCUGAAGUUAUUGACUUUCCCGCCAAAAAAAAUCUCAUAUUUGAGGUGAAGCAAGAAAUCAGGUCUGAAAUUAGGUUAUCACAUUUGAAUUUAUAGAUUACUAAUGCAUUGUAUUAUUUAGAUUAUUAAUGGUUGUUUGCCCAAUCUUUGUUUUGUUACUAUUUUAAGAUUAACAUGAUUCUUUUAUCAUAGAGUAAUAAUGUGUUGUUGGAUUAUAUGAUUGAUAUUAAGAUUAAACUUGUUGUAUUAUUGGUUGGGUCAAUGUUGGUUUUAGGUGUGAAAUUGGGGUUUAAAUCACACUUGAAUCUGUAAAUUACUAUUGCAUUGUAUUCUUUAGGAAUAUAUAAUUCAUUAACAGGUUACCUUCAUGAGUAAUAAGAUGUUGUUGGACUAUAUGAUUGAUAUACGAAACAUGGAUAGACACGGACACGACACUGACACUGACAUGUCGCCAUCCACUAUAGUUUGUAAAAAUGACAUAAUUCGAUGUAAUUAGAUGGUAUUAUUGAUGAUUUAGUUCAUAUACAUUGUUAGCGUAAACAAAAUUAUAUUUUCAAUCAAUCAGGAUCACCAGAUCAUUAAAAACGUUUAAAUUGGAUACUCAGUAGUCAACACUUCCACCCAGUCAUGCUUUCAUGAUGUCGGUGGCCGUCUGAUAUUGAUUGAAUGCUCAUAUUUAAUUUUUAUUUUAUAAUUCCAAAAAUACUGAGUUUGAAUUUGUACCGUUCGAUCUUGAGACCAAUACGUGACUGCAUGAAUGUAGGGAUUUUUUUUACUGCAGCAAAUCCAGGUCUAAAAAUGUUUGACUUUUGUUGUUAAUUGGCUUCAAAUUUGUGGUUUGGAAGAACAGAAAAAUCGUGACACGAUUUCAUCAACGUGUCACGAUUUCCAAGCAGUGAGCAUGGUUUGCAGGGUGCUCAAUCGUGUCACGAUUUUGAGAAAACGUGACACGAUUUUCAAACUUACUGGGUACAUUUUUCAGGAUAAGGUUGGUCGUACCUUGGGUCGUACGCACCAAUCGUGUCACGAUUUGAAAAAAUGUGACACGAUUUUGACAGCUGAAGACCGCUAUAUAAGUGUUCUUGUGCAGAUUUUGAAGGAGAGGAAAAAGAAAGAGAAACUUGGAUUACAAACGAGAUAACUUUAGGGUUGAGUGUCUUUGUAGUGAGGAUCUCUUGGGUUGGGAAACAUUGUAAACACCUUGGGUAAUGAGAUUUCACCAUUGGAAGGAUCGAAAAGCUUCCUUUUCAUUAUUGAGAGUGUGGGUGACACAAAAUGGGUAGAAAUUAGGUCUUGUUCUUGUGUAAGCUUAUAAGCUAAUUUCUUGUAACACUUUCAUCAUAGUAGAUUGGAGGGUUGCUCUCUCCCCUAGAUUAGGUCAUAUUUGACCGAACUGGGUCAACAAUCUUGGUGUGUUUGUUCCUUUCUUUCAUUGCUUAUCUUUGUGCUUUGAUUAUGCUUGUGGUGUUGCUCUACACUUAGAUCUAGGUCUGUUUUUUUUUUUUGUUGUUGCUUGGAGACACUUUAUCCAUUGAUUACCACUUCCUUUGCUCCACACAUCUUUGUUAUUCAUUAGUGUGAUUUUUACCGGAAUUCACAACAACUUUAAUCAUGACUACUAAUAAAGUCACACAUAUGAUUGGUUCAAAUUUACUGAUAGUGUAAAUCUCUUUGUACCGACAGUGAAUCAUAACUAAACUCAUUGAAUUAUUGCUUGGUUGUUGCUUUUUGAUAUAGUGAAUCAACAAUUUAGUCUCUGAGAAUUGAAAUUGUUGUGUAAAUCAAUAUGGUCCUUGAAAUUAAUAAAAAUCCUAAACGAUUUUGAAACUGAAAAUAAUCAAACAUGGAUAUGUGUGAUCAAGAAAUUCCAAUUUAAGUACUGAACAUCAAUUUAAGAGACUAAAUGGGUGAUUAUUUGUUCCAUACGUCAAGUUAUUAGGACUAUUUUGUUACGUUUAAUGGAAUUACAGUGUUCUCAUGUAUUGUUCAAUGUUUGUGAACCUGACAAUAGUCCCUUGAAGGUCAUCCAUGGAAGGAGAUACUAGUAGUGUUGUUGAUGAAAAUAAAGUGAAUUUUGGUGGUCUAACGGGCGACAUUGAUGAAGUAGAGUUGCAAGUAAGACGCAUGAGUAAUUUUGGGAUGGGUAUGGAAAUCCAAAUUUCAGAUCUUGCUAGGCCAGAGGAGUUAGAGAAGAGACAACAGAUAUGUGCUUUAGUACUGCUGUGUUAUAUCGCGCAUUCAGAGUCGGAGCAUUUGAAUUCUGAGAACGAGUGUAGGUCUGUUCAACUGAUGGCACAGCUAGUAGAAACUGAAAAAUGCCGAGACAUCAUUCGCAUGAGCCCUCAAGCAUUUCUGAAGCUUUGUGAGAAAUUAAGGUCAUCUGGUAGAAUGAAGGAUUCAACAGGGGUUACAGUUGAGGGGCAAGUUGCUGAAUUCCUAUAUAUUGUAGGGCAAGCUUCGAAAAACAGAACCGUGCCUUUCCUUUUUAAUAAGUCGGGGGAGACAUUUACUCGACGCUUUGACAAUGUUUUACGAGGAAUCAUCUCAUUAGAAAAUGAGUUCCUUGUCCAACCUUCUGAUGUAGAUGUACAUACACAAAUACUUAACGAUGACAAAUUCUAUCCUUAUUUUAAGGUAAUAAUCUUUUUAAUUUAGCUACUCACUGAUUUUCAGUCAUGAUUGAAUUUUCGUACUGACAUAUUAAUGUAUUUAUCAAAAAGGAUUGCAUUGGAGCCAUCGGUAUAACUCAUAGUCGAGUGAAAGUACCAGUGAAAGACGCCCCUCUAUUUUGUGCAAGAAAAGGCUUCCCCACACAAAUUAUUUUCGCUGCUUGUAAUUUUGAUAUGAAAUUCACAUAUGUUUUAGCUGGGUGGGAAGGAACAGCAUCUUACUCUAGAAUCUUAGAAGACGCUUUAACUCGAAAAAAUCAUUUGAAAAUUCCUAAUGGUAAGUAGUAGACUAAUUGGUGUGAUAUAGUUUUCGAUUACAGAUUAAGUAAUAUAUUAAGUCCUAAUGGAUGCUUCGUGUUUGUAGGAAAAUAUUAUCUCGGUCUUCAAGGACCUAUGCCAAUUGGGGUAUUGUCUCCAUAUAGCAAUGUAUGCUGUCUGUUGAGGGAAUUUUCAAAUCAUGAACCUCAAAACCGUGAAGAACUAUUCAACCUUCGGCAUUCUUUACUUCACUUCGUGAUGGAGAAAACUUUUGGGGUCCUGAAAAAAAGAUUUCCAAUUAUAGCUGGUGUUGCCAAACCAUUUUUCUCAUUUGAAACAAUGAGGCGUAUAAUCAUUGCUUGUUGUGUUUUGCAUAACUUUCUUAUGGAAGUUGACAUUGACGAACAAAUGAUUGCUGAAGUAGAUCAAGAGUUGCUACCUGAUGAGGUACGAAGGUCCAUUCCUUUGGAAAGAUCGAAAAAAUGAAGGGGGACUAUGUAGAAAGACCAAGUUUAAGAAAUGUGGAAUGCUUUUGAAGGAUAAUGUGCUGAAUUUAUAUGUUCCUAGGUAGUUAUGACUUAUGAGUUUUACAUGUUUGGGUUUGGAUUUGAGUUUGUAAUGAUAAUCGACUUUUGUUCCUUUUGUUCGCUGUUAGUACCUAUCCAAUACGUUUUUUAAUGAUUGCUCACAUUACUCAGGAACUUAAAAUGUAAUAAUGUUGAUAUAGUGAUUGUUCACUGUAAGACCAAAUAGUGGAUAUAUGAACUAUCUUCAGUGAAUCAAUGAUAUGAUUAUGCUUGUGAACAAGUGACCAAAAUUCAAGGUCACCUUUCUCCAGUAAUGCUACCAAGUUGGUUUGGUUUUUGAACCAUAUAUUGAUAAUUUUGUUCUUUUUCUGAGACCAAACCAAAAGAUUGGAUGUGUGAAAUACGUUCACAGUGAAUCAAUAAUAUGAUAAUGAUACCAAGUUAAAAUGGAUUAGUUUCUAACGACUCUGGUGUUUUACUUUUUCAACUAUACAUGGAAUAUAGAAUGGACUAAGUUAAAAUGUUAUGGGAUUUUUACGACUUUGGUUCAUAUUUUUAAUAAUUUUGAAUAAAAAUGAUAAACAAUGAAAUCUUAUUCUCAAUGCUCUAUCACAAGUCAUGCAAUCUUGUCUCAGUUCCAUGAAAUAUUUCUUUUUUUUUUUCCUCCACUGUUAGGAGGUCAAAUCACCAUCACCUACUACUACUGUUUCUAAUCUCCAUCACCUACUAUAUAUAUUUUGAUUUUGAUUUCUCAAGUUAGAUGUUUUAUAAAUAUUGUUAUUACUUUUUUUAAUUAUGAUAAAUUUAAAUAAAUAUAUGUGUAUCCGUGUUAGAGUUCUAUAUUUUUUACAUUCGUAGUGUCGCCGUGUCAGAGUUCGAGCUCAUUGUAAGUAGUUAUUGGUAUAUGUCAAGUUAGCGUGGCUGUUUUUUAACAUGUAUAAAUUGAGUUAUAGCUUUCUAAUGUAUUGAUAUGUUUGUAUUUUUAUAUAAAAUUGUAGAACAUGGCAAUAGAGUCCUUUUGAAGGUUGAUUAUGGAGGGAGUUAAACACUACAAGUGUUUUUGAUGAAUUUCAUAAACUUUUAUCGUAGUAAUGUUAUGGUGUUCAACUAUACAAAUGAGCAUUAGAUUAAAUUAUCAGUUGGUUAUUGGUAUAUGGUCAAUCAAUUUGGUUCUUGAAAUUAGAUUUUCAAUUUAGGGGAGUUGUUAUUGAUAUGAUUGUAUUUUAUAUUCAGCAUUUGAGAACAUGACAAUAAUCCCUUGCAGGAUUAUCUAUGGAGGGAGACACGGCUAGUGUUGGUGAGAAUGAAGUCAAUAUUGACGGCGGCAUUAGUGAAAUGGAGUUACAAGUAAGACGAAUGAGUAAGUUCGGGAUGGGCAUGGAAAUCAGACUUUUCAGAUCAUGCUAGGCCAGAAGAAUUAGUACUGUUAGGUUAUAUCGCGCAUUCAUCACAUUUGAUGCGAACGAUGUCUAAGUAUACCAGUAAUGCAAUCAGUGAUGAGAAUUCUGAGAAUGAACAUAGGUCUGUUCAAUUAAUGGCACAGUUAGUACAAACUGAAAAAUGUCGGCGCAUUAUUCGCAUGAGCCCUCAAGCAUUUCUGAAGCUCUGUGAGAAGUUAAGAUCAUCUGUUGGAAUGAAGGAUUCUUCUACAAGGGUUACAGUUGAGGGGCUAGUUGCUGAAUUUUUAUACGUUGUAGGACAGGAUGCAAAAAGUCGAACCACACCUUUCCUUUUUCAUCAAUCGGGUGAGAAAUUUAAUCGCCACUUUCACUAUGUUUUACAAGCCAUCAUAUCAUUACACUGGGAGUUUCUUCUCCAACCUUCUGGUGCCGAUGUACCCUCACAAAUUCUUAACGACAACAAAUUCUAUCCUUAUUUUAAGGUAACAACUCUUUAAUUUAGCUGCUUACAAAUUUUCAGUCCUGUAGUCUAUGUUUGAGGUUUUAUACUAACAUAUUACUGUAUUUAUCAAAAAGGACUGCAUUGGAGUUAUAGGUAUAGCACAUAGUAGAGUGAAGGUACCAGUUGAAGAUGUUGGUCGAUAUUGCGGAGCACGACGCUACCCCACACAAAUUAUUUUUGCAACUUGUGAUUUUGAUAUGAAAUUCACAUACGUUAUAGUUGGGCCGGAAGGAUCAGCAUCUUACCCUAGAGUUUUAGAUGGUGCUUUUACUCGGAAAGAUCCGUUAAAAGUUCCUGAAGGUCAGUGACAGACUAUUGGUCUGUAGUUGGCAUUACCUUGUAGAAUUGCAUUGUCAUGUAUUAAGUUAUAAUGUGUGCUUUAUUUUCGUAGGAAAGUAUUUUCUCGCACGUGCAGGGUUGACGACAAAACCUGGGGUGCUGACACCAUAUAGAGGUGUCUGUUAUUGCUUGAAGCAGUAUUCAACUCAGGGACCUCAAAAUUAUCAAGAACUAUUCAAAUUUCGUCAUGCUUUACUUCAAAAUGUGAUUGAUGGAGCUUUUGGAGUUCUCAAGAAAAGAUUUCCGAUUACAACUGGUGACAAUGAAUCAUAUUUUUCAAUUCGAACCAUGACACGUAUAAUCAGUGCUUGUUGUAUCUUGCACAACUUCCUUAUGGGCAUUGACAUUGAUGAACAAAUAAUUGCUGAAGUAGAUCGUGAAUUGCUACAUGACAAAAGUCGAUACAUAUCAAAGAAACGGAAACUUGAAGUGGACUCUGAAGAAAAACCGAGUUCAAGUAAGAAAAUUGCUUUGGAAAUGUGGAAUGCUUAUGAAGUAUAUGUAUAUCUCAUGUUUCUGGCUGUUGGUUUUACAUAUUUUGUUUGUGUCAGCAUUUUGAACACGGAUUUCAUGUGUAUAAAGUGACAAAAUUAUUCAGGCCCAAACUGAACUUUGGUCCAGCACAACCCUAAAAAAUUGGUAGAUGCAGGGAGGGCCCUGAACAGAGCUGCCAGAGCAUGGUGUGAUGUUAUAUAUAUUAAUAUAGAAAACAGGACAUGUCCUGAAGUUAUGUCUGUUUUUCAUCUUUGAUUUGAUAACUAAUACUAAUUCUUUUUAUGCUUGGAGUAUUAACUAUUUCAAAGGAAAUGGAUUGCAUGCAGUCAACAUUUUUUACAGUUGUAAUCUCGAUCGGAUGGUUAUUAUUUUCAUUUGUACUGUAAAUCGGGUUUUAGAAUUUAAACAGAAACCAUCUAAUCUCCAUCUAACGGUCGAUGUUCAUCGACUGCAGUAACUGCAGUUAAUCCGGAUCCUUUUUCAAAUGCUUGGCAAUGAUAUGAAUAUGUGACAGUUGACACAGAAAGUAGAUCUUGCUCUGAUAAAUAUAUAAGACAAUUGUUAUUGUACUUAAAAAGAUUGUCACUGAUAUAUAUAUACAUUUGUCUGCAUCUCUACAUGUAUUUCAUCAACAUAUACUACAAUACAUGCAAGAAGGAUAAUGGUAGACAAAAACAUCACAACUUUAUAGAGGAAAUAAAAUUUAGAAUGUUAAUUAAUUAGCUUAUUAACUAACUCUUCGUAGUAUUAUUAAGUAUACAUAAAAAAAAGGAAGUUCGCAGAUUAAUUAGACCUGCUUAUCUGGAAUUCCUACUUGGUUACUGCAAUUUCCUCCAAUACUAACCAGAAUGGUUAGCUACUUCACUUCUCACAACUUCAGUUAUCAAAUCUUUGAAGAUCAAUCUUUCAAUAUCCAACACAACAUUUGGUAUCUCAUUGUAGCAUUCUGUACUUGUGGGGUGCUGCACCAAAUCUUCCAACAAGAUACUUGUCAAAUACUCAUCCUCAUUAGCCAGGUUGACAUUCCUAUUUUUAUGCUGUAACUUGUCGAUUUCUGUGCAAAGCAUAUCUGAAAGCUGUUGUCCGUCUGGUUUUCUUCCUUCUGGCUGAUAUGGCUUGUAUGAACUCUCCAAUAUUAGCUUUUGAAAUAGAAUUUCAUUAACAACAUCAAAUAUGAGCUUUCUUUCCAUUUUCUCAUGAUUGUUCGUCUUUGCAAUGUAGGAAUGCAUCUUGUUUGUCUUUAGUUUCUCUAGUGCAAGGAACAAUAUUGGGUUUAUCGGGUAACCAGAUGAAUGCAAUGCCUGGCUAGAGCUGGGACUGGUGAGCAGUCCUGAUGCUAGUAAUAUUUCUGAUAUAUAUUUGUGGUCAGGAUCGUUGUGGUCACUGAAGUUUGCGAAGCUUUCAUCAUCAUUGUGGUCAAAUUGUUGAAGAAUUUGAACCAAAUUAUCAGUGAUCAAGUCAAUAUCAAUGGUUCCAUUGCCAAAGUUGACUUUUGUGUUAGUGUUGGAUGAAAGAGAAAGACCUUCUGAGUCCUCCUCACUAUUAUCGUAAGUGUUCAGUACUUCAUCUGUCGAAAUAAAUUUGAAGGGAAUCAUAAGUAAAUGGAAGAAAAAAUGUAAUUGAUGAAGUGAUGCAUAUGACAGAUGAUUUUAGACCAUUUGACAUUCAAUCUAUGAUGCUUAGAAAAGAAGUGUGAAAUAUACCUAAAUCUUUUGAUAUGUCUGAUUUCCUUUUAACCGGGGAAGGUGGGUCUUCUCUAUAGAAUGAAGCAUCAAGAACAGACACGGGACUGGGUUGUUCUGCAGUAACCAUUGUUUCAACCAUAAAACUUUCCUUGCUCAAGUCUUGUUCUGCAUUCUGAUCAUUUCUUUCCUUCAAAGGAGACAAUUUUUGUCUGGAUGUUUUGCUCGGCAAAGACAGAUCCGUUGAUUGCCUAUUUUGUUGUCUUCUGUUACUGCUGAUAUCUGAUUUUGGGCUGGUUGGUGGGGAACGUCUCUCCAAACCGAACUUCUUUUGUAGUCUUGGACUCCUAGUCUCUGCCAUAACGCCGGAGUUGGUGUUGUUUUCUCCAUUGAUGACUCGAGGAACUUUUGAGGAUUGCAUCAAUUUUGAAGUUCUCAUCCUAUUACUUCUAUCCACUGAAUGAAAGGGAGGACUAAUAGGAUCUUUGACAUGUUUGAUUGCUGGACUGCCUUUUGUUGCUUGCCUGCCAAGCUUGACAACUGACAUUCCAUCAGUAGGAUCACUGCGGUAAACCUUGUUACCUGAUGAUUUACCAUGAAUUGGCAUUUCUGGUGAAGAAGAAUUAUUUGUUUUUCUUGCAACCUUUGUUGGUUUCAUGAUGACAAUUGGAGAUUUACUACCCUGAGUUGAACUCAACCUCUCAGCUGUGACAGAUGUCGGGUUCUUCUGCCGUGUUCUUGGACUUUGUACAUUCAAGCUUUCACCGACACUACUAUUACUCGUAUUGUCAUACGGAGAAUUUGAAGUCUGAUCACUUGCAGUAUCUAAUGAUUCUUUGUAUCUGUGCAUUGCUUCAAGAAUCUGUUUAAGGGCUCUAAGAUCCUUUCCGGAUUUUUUGAACUCUAGAUCCGCCAUCCUUUUUUCAAUUUCACCAUAGACCGAGAGGGACCGAUUUGAGGCCUUUGUUGAAGGUUCGUUAUUCUUGGAAAAUUGUGAAUAUGGUGUCUCAUUUGUGAUUGAACCAUCCCUCCUAGAUUGAAGCAUGUUUGUCCCUUUGCUUGUCUUUUGGAAUGAUGAAUCCUGCUGUUGCAUGUAUUCAUAGCUCAUUCUAGAUCCUGCAAAUGUGUCGUCUUUGUUAGUGUUGCAGCUAUCAGAAGUUUCGCUCCAGUCAGGGAAUGCUUCUAGUCCCAUCAACUUUGCCACAACACUUGAUGGUCUUUUAGCACUUUCUGGUUCUUCCAUCUGCUUUACCAUUGUGUUGGAGCCUCCACGCACGUUCUGUGGACCCUUCAAAAGGUUUCGAGUUUUUGUUCCUUCAUUGAAACUUUUGAUGGAUCUUUCCUUGCUGUCCAAGGAAAACCUCGGGAGUUCCUUCUGCUUUGUGGCAAAUUUGGAUACACUUUGUAUAUCUCUCCCAUCAUAGGAGAGUCUUGGUGAGUCCCAAGGAACCAUAGGCCGCGGAGAGUCGAUGUGUUUCAAGAUUCGACCCUUCUUUUCCUCUUUAGCCAGAGUUUUUACCGAUAAUCUUUGUGCGUCUUUAUGCAUCGAGUCUUUGACAAUAUCAUGGAAAUUAGGUGAUUGAUUUCUUUGGUUGUCAUGUUGCUUCGCUGCUGCUUCUGAAUUGGAAUUUUCUGUGGUUUUCAUUGGACUUAUCGAUGGUGGUUCUAUAUGUAUUGUUCUGUUAAACUCGAUGGAUGACAUGCUAGAUGAACAAGACGACGAAGACAUGGAAGUUCCUGAUGAUGAUUCUGUGGAGGAUUGUUGAUUCUCUCUUGGAACCUUCACAUUCUUUGCCUGCAAUCAUAGUCUCACAUUCUUAACUGAUUCUGCUAAAUUUCUCAAAUGAGGUAAAGUUACUUUGAUCUAAUUAUCUUACCUUUGUCUUUUGUAUUGCAUUAUUCAACUCUUUGAUGUUAUUUCCUGUUCCCCCUGAGAAAGGAAAGAAAUUUUAGCAAUAAGUAAUUUGAAAUAUAUUGCGAGAACGUUCUUUGAUUAGUCCUUCUUUGUUCUAAAUUCUUUCUGAACAAUAUGUUAGCAUGUUUACUUGCACUUUAGGCAACUUGCAUAUGCUCUUCCCUAAUGUACAUUUUUUACAAAGUAAUAAAUUUUACUGCAUUUAUUUUGAAAAUUCAGUAAUUUAAUAAAAUAAAAUAAAAUAAAAACAUCCAACUUAAUUGAAAAAUCAUUCAACUCCUGGGUGUAGUUAUCCAUAUGUUUUGGUGCUAGAGUAGAUAAAUCAUUACUAUAGAGAUGUUGCUUCUUAAAUCAUACAAAUCUUUAUGGAAAAUUUCAAACCUGAAAUGUAAUCAUAAUUAUAUUUUAUUUUUUUAUAAAACCAUGUGCUACUUUGGAAUGUACAAAUUCUGGAUCUGGAGUUGUCCUACAAAAUAUGGCAAAUUAUAGCUUCCAAAGUCUUUUGAGUAAUUAAAUGAAAUGAGGCUUCCAUAUUAUUCUAGAAAUUUGUCUUCUUCAAAAACAAAUAUUAUUCUAGAAAAAUUCAUUUAUAUUUUUUUUUCUUCAAAAAAUUUUCUAGCAUCUGAAGUAGGAAUUGAAUUAUCAUAAAAUCAUAUUGAAGCCAGUUCAGAAAAAGCUUGACUUUGUCUUGUUAUAUGUGAAGUAAAAAAAAAUUACAAGUUACUAUUACUCUCAUCCACCAAAAUAAAAAUUCAUAAAAUAAAACACUAGUAAAUAAGAAAACAACAAAUUUUUCUAAUGAUAAGAAACUGUGUUAACAGUACAUUUUUGACAUAUUGCAAGUAAAUUGGAUCAGUCAUUUACUGUUGAAAGAAAGCGAUUUUAACCUUCAUGUCCAUGUCAAUUUGAUUUUAUGUUAGUUAACUAUGUUUGUUAAUUAUGAGAAAAAUCAUUACCAUUUUUUUGGCACUAUCAAGCACUUGUCUGCAUAAUUGUUAGCAAAACAUUAUUCCAUUAAUCAAGAAAAAAUAAUCUUUUCACUUUUACUCAAAAUCAUCUCAUGAUUGUACCAAAGAUAUUAUUUAUGGAUAAAGUUCAUUUUACACAUUUCAAGUUGGAGGUGAAAACAAUAAAAUGCACAUUUAGGCCUUUGAAAAAUUUAAUUAUAAUUUUUUUUUAUUAUAAUUUCUGCAACAAUAUAUAAAUUUUCAAUCCCUUAACUUGUACCUAAAUUUUUAUAUGUUUCGAGAAUUGAAAAGACAAAACAAAAUACAUAGAAUACAAUAAAAAAUAAUUCUUAAAAAUUCAUAACAGAAACAAAAUAAAACAAAGAUAUUGUAGAUUACCUUGGUUUGCCAUAUUGUGACUGUUGUUGUGGCCUGUGAGAAACCUAUGACGAUCAAAUAGCUGAAAAAAUCCACUAAUGCAUCCAAUUUGCUUCUGCAAUUCUUGAUUUUCAUCUUUCAUUGAUGUCAAAGCCUUUUUAGACAUGUUUUGUUUUUACUUUCUGCACCCCUUCAAUUUUCUUCACUCUACAAGGCUUAAAUAACUGAACUACCUACCUUUGACUUUGGUUAAGAGCUUUUGUUUUGUGGUCUUAAUUGUUGCAAGAAAAUUUUGAUAUGUUACAAAGUGCUUUAGAACAAGGAAAUGGCCUUAGAAGCAUUUACUAGAAUUAUGUAUGAAAAUUGAUGAAGUUUCACAAUGACUUGGUUAUGAUGCAUGUGUAAAGACAAGAGAAUGUUUAAGAAGGUUAAGAGCAAAGAGAUAAGAAUGAGAGAACAAAAAAUAGCAUAAAUUAUGGAUGUUGGGUUUACACAUAACAACAAUGAAGAGAAUAUCUUCUGCAAAAGCAGAAAGAACAAAAAGAAGUAGAAAUGAAGCAAUUCCAAAGUGAUAUAUGUUAAGGGCAGUAACUACAGAGAGAUUUGAUAGACCCAAGAAGAGAUGUUUUUAUAUUAUCUGUUGUUGUAUACCAAAGUUUGAGGUAUUGAAGGCUAAAGUGAUUGUGAGAGGAAUUGUGGUGAUAUUUAUUAUAUAUCAUAUCAUAUGAUGAUGGAAACUUAGGCAACUAGCCAAGUGUUGAAUUAGGCUUAUAAAGAAUAAAUCAUUUGAUUUAGUGCCAAAUUUUUAAUUAGAUUACGUAAGAGAGGUUGAAAAGGUGGAAUUUAGGGUGUCAACAUGUGAGAAAGGGAUACAAUUAUUAAAAGAGAAAUGUUAUUUGAACAAUCAUUUGGUUGAUAACUUAUGAGACAACCAUAAUUUAUAAAGAAAAAGUAGAUAUUUACACGAAAACCAAAGCAAUAAAGAGAUAAAGUAAAAAGUAAUGUGAGUAUAAGAGAGAAAGUUGUCACAAAAUGGAUGUUUAAAUAUCAUUUCUCUUAUUAAAAUAGCAAAAUGACAAUAAUAUAUUUUUUUAUGAUCAACUUUGCUUCAUUUACUUUGUUUAAUUUAUUGUCCAUUUUUUACGGAUAGUAAAGUAAAUGGAACAAAGUCUAACACAUACUUUUUAAUACGCUUCUAGUUGAAAUUCGUAUAUAUCUUAUUGAAUUUAUCUGAGUUCCACAAGUUUAGUUGUUUCAUUUUAAUACUAACCAAAAAAAAUCUAUAUGUGUUGUCGACUUUAUGGUGAAGCGGAGACAGAUGAAUGUCGUUAGACUAAUAAAAAGAAAUUGUGUUCGCUCUUAAUCUAAUGGUAUGGGGCAAGGUGUACCAUAAACUGAUUGCGAAACUGGAUCCCAUGAUGUAACUGCGUUAGCGCAGUAACAGCUACGAGCCGUCCGAUAAGAAAUGAAAGGUUGGGAUUAGAAAUGUGUGAUACUGUACUGUGUGAAUUUGAACUGUUAGAUUGUUUUUCA